AUAAGCUUCUCAACUAUCUGGCUCAUCGUGGGUCUUGAGUCCCUGUCUUCCUCCACACAUUCCAAGGCAACUCCAAUCAGAAUUUCCAUCCGGCGCAGGUCGCAUUCGCCUUGCAUCACAGGGUCCAGGAUGUCUUCAAUCCACGACCCCCUGGCACCAAUCCCAUUCAUUCGAUCCCUCACCCAUUUAAUCAACCCACGCUGCUCUGUCUCUCCUUGGGCAUCAGUAUCGGGGAUAGCAGUUGGGCUCUUCCCUGUCACCAUCUCCAAAACCACGAUUCCAUAGUUAUAAACGUCUACCUUGGAGGUUAUGGGAAGGUUGAAUACCCAUUCAGGAGCCAUGUAUCCUCUGGUUCCUCUGAUCCUCGAGAAACUUGAAUUGUCAAGCCCUCCUCUGUUUCGCAGUUUCGACAUCCCAAAAUCGGCCACUUUUGGCUGGUAAUUAGAGUCCAAGAGUAUGUUCUGAGGCUUGACGUCACAGUGCAGAACCCACUCCAAGCAUUCUUCGUGUAAAUAAGCUAGGCCUCUGGCCGUGCCAAGCGCUAUUUGGAACCUCUUCUCCCAAUCAAGAGUAUUGGAAGAUAGCUUUUGUGCCAAGGAUCCAUGUUCCAUGUACUCAUACACCAACAGCCGGUGCUUCCCCUCUAUGCAAUAUCCCCACGUCUCUAUUAAGUUCAUGUGAUUAAGCCUUCCAAUGGUGCUCACUUCUGCUAGAAAUUCUGCUUCUCCUUGAUUGGCUUCUUUGAGGCGCUUGAUUGCUGCCACUCGACGAUCAAGCAAUACACCUUUAUAUACCACUCCUCCACCUCCUCUUCCAAUCUCUUGGGUGAAACCUCGCGUGGCCUUCUUCAACUUUGCAUAGCUGAAUCUUUUAAACCCGUUUGCAACGAGGAUGUAGCCUUGCAUGGUCGAGACUGGAUCAUGGUGUACCCUAAAUAAGAAAAGCCAUACCAGCAAGACAAUUGCCCCCUCUAGAACUCCCAGUACGUAGGCAAACCAAAGCAAAAACUUCAAUGACCCAUUUUCAUGGCCCUUGCGAUAUGUUGUAUCUAGCUGUAUAUAACGAGUGUUGCCUGAACAAUUCAUGGUGAAUUCUUCAAGAGUGUUGGAAAUCAAGCCAGCAUCCUCUGUUUACUUCCCUAAUUAGUGUAAUGUACAGCCUUUAUUAUAAUUGAUUUAGGAGUAAUUCUAGCAAGGUAGUUUAUUCACUUUCCAUGUAAGAGUAGUUUAUUCACUUCCCAUGUAAGAGUAGUUUAUUCACUUCCCAUGUAAGAGUUUAUUCACUUUCCAUGUAAGGGAAAUUCCAUUCCGGAAUUGUCUCAUAUCUGUAGGCUAUUUAUUUAUGCUUUCAUUCAUUGUAAAGGGUGAGAUCACGGAAUGAAUUGAGGUGUUCCUCCAUAGUUUGUCUUCAAAUUCUUCAUAUUUUUCUUCAAAUUCUUCAAAGAUGAUCAUAUCUGGGAAAGAGACUAGCUUUAGGCAGUUUUAGAUACAUGGUUCCAGGAUAAUUUGGCGAACUGAAUCCAUUAAGCAAGAGGGUAUUUGGGUAACAAUCGUAAAGGUCGUCGCUAAAAUUUAGCAGGAAGGCCUUGCAUUUGCACAACUGUAAGCAUAGAUUUUCACACCUUUCGUAGGUGUAAUUGGGGUAGUGACCAUAGUCAUAGCCGUAGAGUUGAACAUGAGGGAGUGGGAAGAAGCCCACCUCAGUUUGGUUACAAGCGAUAUCAGUUUCUGGUGCACACCCAUAAGACUAGUCAGUUGAAUUUACAAUCUUGAAUCCAGGCAUGCAAGAGCAUCCUCUGCCAUAAGCAGGGGUGUAACUGCAGAGACUAUUGGGUUCGCAGAUGCCAUGAAUCUGGCAUGGUUGGGAGAUAGCCUGCCAUGAAACCGACCAGGUUCCUCUCGUUUCUUCUAGACUAUACAUUCUAAGAUUGCCAUCGAAAUCGAGGGCCAAUCUUCUCUGAGGCCCUGCACCAAAAUCCGCUGACCGAAAUUCCAAAUCAUCUGAUGCUCUAUAAUAACCCAAAGAAUCGAAUACUGCGAUUCGACUGUUGUUGUAUGUGCUCCUUCCAGCAUCCCAGGUCACCAGGCUUAGGUCUGGCCAAUAGAUGCUGGAAACCUCAGUACCAUUGAAGAGAAGGCGGAUGACGUUAUCACUGUCAAAAAAUAGCUUAUAAAAACCAGAAGAAUAGUUGCUUUGGCUUCUUGAGGAGAUAAGGCUGGUAUCUUUGGUCAGUAUCUGGUGAGGAAGAAGAGUAUCUGUGGGUGAGUCAAAGCUCUGCCAAAUCACCGUCUUCUCCCAAGCAUAUAGAACAAGAUUGCCGGUGUUAAGGAGCUGUAAUCUCGCAGAUGAGGUUGAAACUGUCACGCCCCAAGACCCACUCCAAGGGCGUGACGGUCAUUUCACACCUCAAACCCGAAGGCUUAAAGUAUAAUCUGACCCGAACAAUCAUAUUAUAACUAGAUGUUACCAAUUACCAAAUACCUGUUCAGAGUAGCAGAACAAAAUCUAAAUUCCUCAAAAUUCAAUUUCCAAAUAACUUCCAAAUAUCAAAUGAUCCAAAUGAACAUAACUAACAGUUAAACAAAAUCCAACAUAAAAUCCUAAGUCAAAUCUUAAUGAUGACCAUUCUUCAGCCUAGCCAUCACUCCUCACCCGAACUAAGAGUACCUGAAAAUUUUCAACAAUUGGGAAUGAGCUCACAGCCCAAUAAGGAAUAUUAAUGCAAUUCAUGGAUCAAAUAUUUUCAUUUCAAAUAGGAGAUAUCAAUUUUUUUUUUUCUCAUCAAAUAUCAGAGUUCCAAAAAUACCAAUAUAUUCAAAAUUCAACCAACCAAUUUCAUAUCAAAUUCAAACACUUUCACAUAAAAUUCAAUCAAAUUCAUUCAAGUUUCAUUACUCUGGUUAUCAAAUAUCAAAUGCCCAGUUAGGUGGGACUUUUCAAAUGGGUGGCUAGCCUCAAAUUGUUCCUGGUGGACGGAACCUAAACACNNNNNNNNNNNNNNNNNNNNNNNNNNNNNNNNNNNNNNNNNNNNNNNNNNNNNNNNNNNNNNNNNNNNNNNNNNNNNNNNNNNNNNNNNNNNNNNNNNNNCCGAACUAAGAGUACUGAAAAUUUUCACAAUUGGGAAUGAGCUCACAGCCCAAUAAGGAAUAUUAAUGCAAUUCAUGGAUCAAAUAUUUUCAUUUCAAAUAGGAGAUAUCAAUUUUUUUUUUUCUCAUCAAAUAUCAGAGUUCCAAAAAUACCAAUAUAUUCAAAAUUCAACCAACCAAUUUCAUAUCAAAUUCAAACACUUUCACAUAAAAUUCAAUCAAAUUCAUUCAAGUUUCAUUACUCUGGUUAUCAAAUAUCAAAUGCCCAGUUAGGUGGGACUUUUCAAAUGGGUGGCUAGCCUCAAAUUGUUCCUGGUGGACGGAACCAAACACUACUAGUACUAGUAACCUCUAACCAAACCCCUAGAGGCUGGGGUCCAAAUCAAUUACAUUCCCACCAUGAAAUGUAAAGGUCAACUAUUAUAUCCCGUUGAUAGGGCCGAAUAGUCAAUUAUUAUAUCCCGUUGACAAGGGUCAAAUAAACCAGAGUGAUGUUUUUGUUCAAGUUUUCAAAUUUACACAACAUAAUAUCUCCAUAUUUUGUGUCAUAAAUAAAACAAAAUAUUCCAACAUAACAUUUAGUGCAAAACAAUUUGAUCCAUGCAUGGUAACAAAAUAUCAUUUUCUUUUCCACAAUUCAAAAUAACAUAUAAGAUAAUUUAAUUUUAUAAAUAUUACAUUAACUUCCCUUACCUCAAAAGAAGUCCUUGAAAGCUUGGGAGAAGAAUAAUUCUGAAAAAAAAAAUAUAAUCUACUCUUCACCUAAUAUAACAUAAAAGAAACAAUUAUUACUAUUUAUUUAUAAUUUAACUAAUCUAUUCCUUAUUAAAAAAAAAUUAAAAAAUUCCCAAUUGGUUUUUAAUAUACCAUUACUAAUUUAAUUAAAUAAUACCUUUAUUUGGCUAUAAAAUUCUAUAUUUAUAUAUUUAUAUAUGGCUAAUUUUCUUUUUCUUUUUUUACCAAAAAUACCAUUUUUAUUUUUUUUUUAUUUAAAAAUUUAAAACUAAUUUUUUUUUUUUAAUUACCCAAUUCCAACCCAUCCACCUUGGGGUACACCAAACCAAAAAGCAAGUUUUUAUUUUUAUUUUUUAUUUUUUUUUCAUUCCCAACCAGGAUCCAUUAAUAUAUAUAUAUAUAUAUAUAUAUAAAAGGGGCUUCCUGGCACACGCACCUUUUUUUUUUUUUUUUAAUAAAAUUAACCCUAACCUAAAAUCAAAACCUUCCAAGAAAUUUUUUUUUUUUUCUAAUAAAACUUAAGAUCUCCCAAAUUCCAAUACUAAAAUCAAAAUAUUAAAUUUUCACUAUUUGAUAUUAAAACGAAUUAAAAAAAUAAUCUAACCCUAAUCUAGAUUUGGGGUUUUCCAAAAAAAUAUAUCUAAUGUGUUUGAAAUUAAUCAAUGAAUCUAAAAUAUUAAACUAGGGGUUAGAAUCUUACCUAUAGAGAUCUGUUCUUCAACCCUGAAAUCUGACUCCAAUCUUACGUUCUCUGGAAUUCUACGAACAGGAAAUCUAUUCAGAAAAAAAGGGAAAAAAAUAAAAUUUCUAAUUUAUACCUAGGGUAUUUAUUCGUAAAAUUACACUUUUACCCUUCUUCCACUUUAUUAAAUUAAUUAAUUAAUUAAUUUAAUUAUUAAUAACAAUUUCCUAAAUUACCCUUAAAAGAAAAUGCUUGGGCAUUACAUCCUCCCCUCCUUAACAAAAGUUUAGUCCUCUAAACUUGACAUACCUGAGUCUUGAAAUAAUUGAGGAUGUUUUUCUCUCAUCUCUUCUUCUAACUCCCAAGUGGCCUCUCGGAUACUAUGAUUGCUCCACUGGACCUUUACCAACUUGACAACAGCAUGUCGUAGUACCUUAUCCAUCAUAUCCACAAUUUGAACGGGUACCUCUUCAUAGGUCAAGUCCUCAAAAUUUUGAAUAGGCUCCAACUCCACAACAUGAGAAGGAUCAUAAAUAUACUUCCUUAGAGUCGAAACAUGAAACACAUUAUGAACCUUAGACAAGCUUGGGGGCAAGACUACUUUAUAUGCCAAAGUGCCUACUCUUUCUAAUAUUUCAAACGGACCCACAAAACGAGGACUAAGUUUUCCUUUUCUCCCAAAUCUCAUCACAUACUUCAUAGGUGAAACUUUCAAGAACACAUGAUCACCCACCUCAAACUCCAAAUCUCGCCUACGAUGAUCAGCAUAACUCUUAUGUCUACUUUGAGCUGCUUUUAAUAUUUCUUUAAUCAAAGCAACCUUUUCAACAGUCAACUGCACAAGUUCAGGCCCCAAAAGUUUCCUUUCUCCAACAUCAUUCCAAUAGAUAGGAGAUCGACAUUUCCUACCAUACAAUGCCUCAAAAGGUGUCAUCCCAAUGCUAGCUUGAAAACUAUUGUUAUAGGCAAACUCUACUAAAGGUAAAUGAUCAUCCCAAUUACCUUGCAGGUCCAAAAUACAAGCUCUCAACAAGUCUUCCAAAACCUUAAUUACCCUUUCUGAUUGGCCAUCAGUUUGAGGAUGGAAAGCAGUACUAAAACUCAACUUAGUGCCCAAAGUUUUUUGUAGACUAUGCCAGAAUCUAGAAGUGAAACGAGGAUCUCUAUCAGACACUAUAGAAACUGGUACUCCAUGCAUUCUCACAAUCUCCUUCACAUAAAGAGAAGCUAAACGAUCUAAAGAAAAGUUCACUUUCAUAGGUAAAAAGUGAGCAGACUUUGUCAACCGAUCAACAAUCACCCAAAUAGCAUUAUUACCCCCUAAGGUUCUUGGCAAUCCUAUCACAAAAUCCAUGGUAAUAUGCUCCCACUUCCACUCAGGAAUAGCAAGUGGCUGCAAAGACCCUGCUGGUCGUUGAUGUUCAGCCUUCACCUGUUGACACACUAAAUACUGAGCCACAAAUUGUGCAAUAUCACGCUUCAUACCUGACCACCAAUAGUUUUGCCUCAAAUCCUUGUACAUCUUUGUCCCUCCUGGGUGGAUUGCAAACUUGGAACAAUGAGCUUCCUCUAAAAGCUCCCUCUUUAAGUCUUCAUCAUUUGGGACACAAAGUCUAGUCCCAAAUCUCAAGAUCUCAUCAUCUGACAAAACAAAAUCAGGCUUACUGUCCCUCUUAACUUCCUCCAUAACUUGCACUAAUUGGGAAUCAUUCUUUUGUAGGGUCUUAAUUCUCCCAACUAAGUCUGGUUGUACUCUGAAAUUUGCUACAAGUGCUCCUAAGCCCAUAACUCGAAAGUGGACUUGUAAACUCCUCAACUCUUCAAGUAACUGCCUUUGACAACCUCUAAUAGCUGCUAGAGAACCAACUGACUUCCUACUCAAGGCAUCAGCUACAACAUUCGCCUUCCCAGGAUGAUACUGAAUAAUACAAUCAUAGUCCUUAAGUAGUUCUAUCCAUCUUCUCUGUCUUAUGUUCAACUCCUUUUGGGAAAAUAGAUACUUCAAACUCUUAUGAUCUGUGAAUAUCUCACAAGUUUCACCAAAAAGAAAAUGUCUCCAAAUCUUAAGUGCAAAAACCACAGCAGCUAACUCCAAAUCAUGAGUAGGGUAAUUCCUUUCAUAAGGCUUCAACUGUCUAGAAGCAUAAGCUACAACUCUCCCAUGUUGCAUAAGAACACAACCUAAACCCUGAUGAGAAGCAUUACUAUACACCACAAAUCCUCCUGAACCUGAAGGGAUAGUCAAAAUAGGAGCUGACACUAAUCUAUUCUUCAACUCUUGGAAGCUACAUUCACAAUCAUCAGACCACUCAAACUUAACUCCCUUCUGUGUCAACUUAGUUAAAGGUAGGGCAAUCUUAGAGAACCCUUCUAUAAACCGCCUAUAGUAACCAGCAAGUCCCAAGAAACUUCGAAUCUCAGUCACAGUACUAGGUCUUCUCCAAUUAGCUACAGCAUCUACCUUGCCAGGGUCAACUGAGAUGCCAUCAUUGCUUACCACAUGCCCAAGGAAAGAAAUUCAGUCUAACCAAAACUCACACUUCUUCAGUUUAGCAUACAACUGCUUAUCUCUGAGGAUAUGUAAUACAAUACUCAAAUGGCCCUCAUGCUCCUCUCUACUUCUUGAGUAUACCAAGAUGUCAUCUAUAAAAACCACCACAAAUUGAUCUAAAUAGGGUUUGAAUACCCUAUUCAUCAAGUCCAUAAAAGCAGCAGGUGCAUUAGUCAAACCAAAAGGCAUAACAAGAAACUCAUAGUGCCCAUACCUAGUUCGAAAAGCAGUCUUGGGUACAUCUUCCCCUCUAACCCUCAACUGGUGAUAACCCGAUCAAAGAUCUAUCUUAGAGAACACACAAGCACCUUGUAACUGAUCAAACAAAUCAUCAAUCCGAGGAAGGGGAUACUUGUUCCUCACUAUCACCUUAUUCAACUCCCUAUAGUCAAUGCAAAGUCUCAUUGAGCCAUCCUUCUUUUUCACAAAUAGAACAGGAGCUCCCCAAGGUGAAACACUAGGCCUGAUAAAACCCUUGUCUAAUAACUCUUGAAGCUGAACUUUCAACUCCUUAAGCUCCACAGGUGCCAUCCUGUAUGGGGCCUUAGACAUAGGACCUAUUCCUAGUACUAGAUCAAUGGUGAACUCCACCUCUCUCUCUGGUGGCAAGCCAGACAAAUCCUCUGGAAAGACAUCAGGAUACUCUCUUACUAUAGGUAUGUCUUCCAACUUCAAAUCACUUUCAUUACUCACCAUACUAGCCAAAAAUCCUUGGCAACCCUUCUUAAGCAAGCUACUAGCACGCAAGGCUGAGAUCAUACGCAGUGGUCUGUCCACAUGCUUCCCUUCAAAGCUAAACUUAGGCUGACCAGGAAUACUAAAUGUCACUCUUUUCUCAAAACAGUCAACAGAGGCAUGGUAGGAAGCUAACCAAUCCAUACCCAAAAUCACAUCAAAAUCCUGAAGGUCAAGGAGUACUAAAUCAACUGGCAUUUCCCUAUAACCAAUCAUCACAAUACAAUUUCUAAGCAUUCUACUGGCCACAACAGAAUCUCCCACAGGAGUAGCAACAAUCAAAUCAAAGUCCAUGCUAACAACAGGCAAACCCAACAAACCAGCAAAAGAUACUGAAACAAAAGAGUGUGUUGAUCCAGGAUCAAUCAGACUCUAGCAAAUAAGGUGUGGAUUCGGAGAGUACCUGUCACCACAUCAGAAGUGGCCUGAGCAUCUCGAUGAGUCAUAGCAAACACCCGUCCUUGGGCUUUGGGUUUCUGUUUUAUCUCCUUAUUUUCCUCUUUAAGCUUCCCAGUGAUGAACUUACCUAUUCCUCUGAUCAAAUGUCCUUGCNNNNNNNNNNNNNNNNNNNNNNNNNNNNNNNNNNNNNNNNNNNNNNNNNNNNNNNNNNNNNNNNNNNNNNNNNNNNNNNNNNNNNNNNNNNNNNNNNNNNGUGAUAACCCGAUCGAAGAUCUAUCUUAGAGAACACACAAGCACCUUGUAGCUAAUCAAACAAAUCAUCAAUCCGAGGAAGGGGAUACUUAUUCCUCACUGUCACCUUAUUCAACUCCCUAUAGUCAAUGCAAAGUCUCAUUGAGCCAUCCUUCUUUUUUACAAAUAGAACAGGAGCUCCCCAAGGUGAAACACUAGGCCUGAUAAAACCCUUGUCUAAUAACUCCUGAAGCUGAACUUUUAACUCCUUAAGCUCCAUAGGUGCCAUCCUGUAUGGGGCCUUAGACAUAGGACCUGUUCCUGGUACCAGAUCAAUGGUGAACUCCACCUCUCUCUCUGGUGGCAAGCCAGGCAAAUCCUCUGGAAAGACAUCAGGAUACUCCCUUACUAUGGGUAUGUCUUCCAACUUCAAAUCACUUCCAUUACUCACCACACUAGCCAAAAAUCCUUGGCAACCCUUCUUAAGCAAGCUACUAGCUCGCAAGGCUGAGAUCAUACGCAGUGGUCUGUCCACAUGCUUCCCUUCAAAGCUAUACUUAGGCUGACCAGGAAUACUAAACGUCACCCUUUUCUCAAAACAGUCAACAGAGGCAUGGUAGGAAGCUAACCAAUCCAUCCCCAAAAUCACAUCAAAAUCCUGAAGGUCAAGGAGUACUAAAUCAACUGGCAUUUCCCUAUAACCAAUCAUCACAAUACAAUUUCUAAGCAUUCUACUGGCCACAACAGAAUCUCCCACAGGAGUAGCAACAAUCAAAUCAAAGUCCAUGCUAACAACAGGCAAACCCAACAAACCAGCAAAAGAUACUGAAACAAAAGAGUGUGUUGAUCCAGGAUCAAUCAAGACUCUAGCAAAUAAGGUGUGGAUUCGGAGAGUACCUGUCACCACAUCAGAAGUGGCCUGAGCAUCUCGAUGAGUCAUAGCAAACACCCGUCCUUGGGCUUUGGGUUUCUGUUUAUCCUCCUUAUUUUCCUCUUUAAGCUUCCCAGUGAUGAACUUCCUAUUCUCUGAUCAAAUGUCCUUGCUUCCCACAACCAAAGCAAGCUCCAGUCUCUCUAUAGCAUGGCCUACCCCCAUGCUUCUUACCACAAGUAGGACAAGCCCCAUCUAAAUUCUGCGCUGCCUUCCCUUUAUUCUGAUUUCUUCCUGAUGUAGACCUUCGCUGUGCUUGAUUACCAUGAGCACCAUCACUCCUAUUUCGCUUCCUUUGCUGUUCCCUAUACUGAUGAAGCUCUUCAUUAUCUUUCUCUGUUAUAAGGGCUCUGUCAACAACCUCUGAAUAGACACCAAGCUUCAGAAUAGAUAUCUUGUUCUUCAAAUAAGGCUUCAAUCCAUCCUGAAACUUUAAUGCCUUUUCCUCCUCUAUAGCAAUCAACUGUGGGGAAAAACGUGAUAACUUUGUAAAUUUGGCCUCAUACUGAGCCACAGUCAUAUCCCUCUGUUCCAAACGAAUAAACUCUCCCACCUUCUGCCACCUAACACUGUCAGGGAAAUACUUCUUGUAGAAAGCCUCCCUAAAUUGUCUCCAUGUUAUGGGUCCCUGAUCCUCCAAAAGUCUCUUAGUCAUACGCCACCAAUGAUCUGUCUCUUUAUCUAACAUAAAAGCUGCAUAAGAGGCUUUUUGCUCCUCAGAGCAAUCUAUGACACCAAAGAAUUUCUCCAUCUUAAGGAUCCAAGCCUCUGCCUCUGUGGGAUCUGUAGCACCAGAAAAGUAAGGAGGACCCAAUUUCUUGAAGUCAUCAAAAGAGCUACCCCUAGAAGAUGAAGACUGUCCCUGAACAUUAGUCCCAACAGCUCGAGCUUGGCGUUCAACUAAACCAACUAGUGUCCCAAGAUACCUAUAGAUCCCUUCUGCACUCACGGGAGGCAAACCCUCAAUUGGAGGUACAUCGUCAUUAGCCUGACUGUUUUGUGAAGAAGUUGUUCUUCUUGGUGGCAUGAUGUCCUAAAAUAAUAAGGCAUAACUAAAUUAGUCACUAAAGAACCAAUUAGAAAAUUUUCCAAUUAAAGAAAGAAUUGGAAUUUAUACUAAAUGAAACUAAAACUUAAACAAAUGCGUUACUCAUCUAUCCCUAAUCUAAACCAAUUCAAAUUCCCAUCAAGAUCAAAACCUAGUGCUCUGAUACCACUCUGUCACGCCCCAAGACCCACUCCAAGGGCGUGACGGUCAUUUCACACCUCAAACCCGAAGGCUUAAAGUAUAAUCUGACCCGAACAAUCAUAUUGUAACUAGAUGUUACCAAUUACCAAAUACCUGUUCAGAGUAGCGGAACAAAAUCUAAAUUCCUCAAAAUUCAAUUUCCAAAUAACUUCCAAAUAUCAAAGAUCCAAAUGAACAUAACUAACAGUUAAACAAAAUCCAACAUAAAAUCCUAAGUCAAAUCCUAAUGAUGACCAUUCUUCAGCCUAGCCAUCACUCCUCACCCGAACUAAGAGUACCUGAAAAUUUUCAACAAUUGGGAAUGAGUUCACAGCCCAAUAAGGAAUAUUAAUGCAAUUCAUGGAUCAAAUAUUUUCAUUUCAAAUAGGAGAUAUCAAUUUUUUUUUUUCUCAUCAAAUAUCAGAGUUCCAAAAAUACCAAUAUAUUCAAAAUUCAACCAACCAAUUUCAUAUCAAAUUCAAACACUUUCACAUAAGAUUCAAUCAAAUUCAUUCAAGUUUCAUUACUCUGGUUAUCAAAUAUCAAAUGCCCAGUUAGGUGAGACUUUUCAAAUGGGUGGCUAGCUUCAAAUUGUUCCUGGUGGACGAAACCAAACACUACUAGUACUAGUAACCUCUAACCAAACCCCUAGAGGCUGGGGUCCAAAUCAAUUACAUUCCCACCAUGAAAUGUAAAGGUCAACUAUUAUAUCUCGUUGACAGGGCCGAAUAGUCAACUAUUAUAUCCCGUUGACAAGGGUCAAAUAAACCAGAGUGAUGUUUUUGUUCAAGUAUUCAAAUGUACACAACAUAAUAUCUCCAUAUUUUGUGUCAUAAAUAAAACAAAAUAUUCCAACAUAACAUUUAGUGCAAAACAAUUUGAUCCAUGCAUGGUAACAAAAUAUCAUUUUCUUUUCCACAAUUCAAAAUAACAUAUAAGAUAAUUUAAUUUUAUAAAUAUUACAUUAACUUCCCUUACCUCAAAAGAAGUCCUUGAAAGCUUGGGAGAAGAAUAAUUCUGAAAAAAAAAUAUAAUCUACUCUUCACCUAAUAUAACAUAAAAGAAACAAUUAUUACUAUUUAUUUAUAAUUUAACUAAUCUAUUCCUUAUUUAAAAAAAAACUAAUAAAUUCCCAAUUUGUUUCUAAUAACACAUUACUAAUUUAAUUAAAUUAUAACUUUAUUUCGCUAUAAAAUUAUAUAUAUAUAUAUAUAUAUAUAUUGCUAAAUCUCUUAUUCUAUUUAUUACAAAAAUACCAUUAUUACUAUUAUCUUAUUUAUAAAUCUAAAACUAAUUAUUAUUAUUUAAUUAACCAAUUCCAAACCACUCAACCUCGGGUACACCAAACCAAAAAGCAAGUUUUUAUUUUUAUUUUUUAUUUUUUUUCAUUGCCAAUCAUGAUCCAUUAAUAUAUAUAUAUAUAUAUAAAAGGGGCUUCCUGGUACACGCACCUUUUUUUUUUAAUAAAAUUAACCCUAACCUAAAAUCAAAACCUUCCAAGAAAUUUUUUUUUUUUUCUAAUAAAACUUAAGAUCUCCCAAAUUCCAAUACUAAAAUCAAAAUAUUAAAUUUUCACUAUUUGAUAUUAAAACGAAUUAAAAAAAUAAUCUAACCCUAAUCUAGAUUUUGGGUUUUCCAAAAAAAUAUAUCUAAUGUGUUUGAAAUUAAUCAAUGAAUCUAAAAUAUUAAACUAGGGGUUAGAAUUUUACCUAUAGAGAUCUGUUCUUCAACCCUGAAAUCUGACUCCAAUCUUACGUUCUCUGGAAUUCUACGAACAAGAACUAUAUUCAGAAAAGAAGGGAAAAAAAUAAAAUUUCUAAUUUAUACCUAGGGUAUUUAUUCGUAAAAUUACACUUUUACCCUUCUUCCACUUUAUUAAAUUAAUUAAUUAAUUAAUUUAAUUAUUAAUAACAAUUUCCUAAAUUACCCUUAAAAGAAAAUGCUUGGGCGUUACAGAAACGGUGUUGAUCAUCCAAACCAUGAUUUUACCAGCAUCAGUUAAGAUGAGAUUGCCAUUCCUCAACAAAGAAAGCUUGGAGCCUCUACCGUUGACCGGUUGGUCAUGGUUCGCCAUCCAAACUGUGGUUGCACCCCAUGAUUUUGUGAACCAUAUGGCGAAGCAGAAAGUGUUGUUGCCGACCUGAUAAAACCCAGCAGAGAAUAUACCAUUUGCUGAAAUGAGAACAUCAUUUGAUUUCUCCACGGAAAGAGACGAGCCUUCGCUCAGAGUAUCAUACGUUUCAGAUGAAGAUGGAUAGCAAGUUAACAGCAAAACCAAAACAAAGAAACCAACUGUCCUAUCCAUGAGUUUUGGGAUAUGGUUCAUGUGCUCUGUUUCCUGAUCAGAUAUUUGCAAUGGAGAAUGCAAGUGUAUGGUGCUACCAGAGUUUAGAAAAUCAAUUGACUCCUUGACUGGGGUGAAGGGGGAAAAUUCACAUUGCCCCUCGGGCCAAGUUUUGCUUGUGCCAUCGUGUUGGGUUUCUAAAAGCAUUUCAUGUCAACGUCAAAAUAUGGGAUGAAGACCCGCUAUUUUUAAUGGGAUCUAUUUUGAUUGGAUGACUUGGGCCAUUCAAAUUUUGUAGUUUCCACUUGGAACAACAAAAUUAUUAUGAGAUACGUCAUUUUGAAGAAAGAUUCUAGAAAUAAGAUGUUAAAUUGAUCUCUUUUCCAUGUAGCUGAACUCGUCAACUGUGAGUCUGAGCCAUAUGAUUUCUGUGCCAUACAGAAGCUUAUUGUUCCAAGUUGCCUGCUCAAAGGUUAACCUGUGAACAGUUUGGAUCUAAAUACAAUGAAUGUGAUGAAAUUUACUGAAACCGGGACUCUCUGACUGGCCUGUGGCCUUUAUGAGUUUUAUUUUAGAGGUGACGUCUGAUGUUGAUUGGCCCAAGCAGGGAAAGAUCAAAUGGGAAACGACGGUCACAACUUGUGGGGUGACUUUCCACUCACCAGGGAACACUUCAAAGAAAUUAUCCCUAAUUUUUAAACGCUUAAUUAUUGCGAUUCGAGGGGUAAAACAUUUUCUUUUAUUGAAUCAAGAUUGAAUUUAAAAUAAUAGUGUUGGUAUUACUCCCUCUCUUUUAUCCUUUUCUUAUUCUAUCUAAUAGUGGUUUUCUCGCCGCCUUUGUGGGCCAAGAUGAACUAAUGCUAAGAAUUUUAUUCAUCUGCUUUCUUUCAAGACUCACUUAUUGAAUAUAAUAUCUCAAUAAAUAUAGAACCAUAUUUUGAUUAUAUUGGUACAAUUAUUGAUACAACUGUUGGCUCCGCUCAAGUCAUUUUGGCGUGGACUUUUAGGGUAUGGUAGAGUGGAGCUUGUAUCACUACUAAUUAUUAAAAUGGUUAAAGGAUGUCUUUGUCAUUUUAGUGCACAUAUAAUUAUUAUUACAAUUGAGGGUCCUCCAAUAUCCCAUUUUUCCAAUUUUGACUUUUGAUCGGAAAAAAUUUAGUAUACAAGGAUAGGAAAAUAUGCUAAAUAAAAUAAUUUUCUCAUAUUUAGGUUUAUUAAAAAUUAUAAAAAAUAAUAUAAUAUAAUAUAAUUAAAAAGUUAUGUAUUUUUAAAUUAGAUAAUUUUUUUAUAAAACAAUUAAAAUAAGUUAAAUGAGUUUGAAAUUCCAUAUAAAAAUAAUUUAUUGAUUUAAAAUCUAUUUUUAUUUCCUUUAACUUUUUUUCAUAUAUUUUUUUUUUGAAUUUUUCAAAUACUUCAAACAGCUAUUUUUAAGUUUGUAUCUUUGUGAAACUCGUGUAAUCGUGACCCAUGAGAACCUUCAAGUCAUUUUGAUUAUAUUGGUACAAUUAUUGGUACAACUGUUGGCUCCGCUCAAGUCAUUUUGGCGUGGACUUUUAGGUUAUGGUUGAGUGGAGCUUGUAUCACUACUAAUUAUUAAUAUGGUUAAAGGAUGUCUUUGUCAUUUUAGUGCACAUAUAAUUAUUAUUACAAUUGAGGGUCCUCCAAUAUCCCAUAUUUCCAAUUUUGAUUUUUCAAGGUAUGAUCGGAAAAAAUUUAGUAUACAAGGAUAGGAAAAUAUGUUAAAUAAAAUAAUUUUCUUAUAUUUAGUUUUAUUAAAAAUUGUAAAAAAUAAUAUAAUAUAAUAUAAUUAAAAAGUUAUGUAUUUUUAAAUUAGGUAAUUUUUUUAUAAAACAAUUAAAAUAAGUUAAAUGAGUUUGAAAUUUUAUAGAAAAUUAAUUUAUUGAUUUAAAAUCUAUUUUUAUUUUCUUUAACUUUUUUUCAUAUAUAUUUUUUUUUUUGUAUUUUUCAAAUACUUCAAGUAGCACCCCAUUUCCUAUUUUCAAGUUUGUAUCUUCGUGAAACUCAUGUAAUCGUGACCCAUGAGAACCUUCAAGUCAUUUUGAUUAUAUUGGUACAAUUAUUGGUACAACUGUUGGCCCCGCUCAAGUCAUUUUGGCGCGGACUUUUAGGGUAUGGUUGAGUGGAGCUUGUAUAACUACUAAUUAUUAAUAUGGUUAAAGGGUGUCUUUGUCAUUUUAGUGCACAUAUAAUUAUUAUUACAAUUGAGGGUCCUCCAAUAUCCCAUUUUUCCAAUUUUGACUUUUCAAGGUCUGAUCGGAAAAAAUUUAGUAUACAGAGAAAAUAUGAUAAAUAAAAUAAUUUUUUCAUAUUUAGUUUUAUUAAAAAUUGUAAAAAAAUAUAUAUAUAAUUAAAAAGUUAUGUAUUUUUAAAUUAGGUAAUUUUUUUUUAUAAAACAAUUAAAAUAAGUUAUAUGAGUUUGAAACUCCAUAUAAAAAUAAUUUAUUAAUUUAAAAUUUAUUUUUAUUUCCUUUAACUUUUUUUCUUAUAUUUUCUUUCGUAUUUUCCAAAUAUUUCAAAUAGCACUCUAUUCCCAUUUUCAAGUUUGUAUCUUUGUGAAACUCAUUUAAUCGUGACCCAUGAGAACCUUCCCAUAACUACAAAGGAAGGUGGCAACAUAUCAUUGGGAGAGUGUCUUAAGAGCCAAAAUUUGACUAGCGGUUGAAAGGAAAAUGCACAAUUAUUGUAGUGGACAAAUACUUUUAACCUCAUUUGUGGAAGCUAGGUUGUUUUUACAAGGGAAACUUGUGUUCCAAGUUAGAUAUUUGAAAGUAAUAUUAUAUUCAAACCCCAAUUAGCUGGAAUAUGAGAUUUGACUAUUAAAAGAGAAAAUAUUAUUGUGUUUGUGCAUUCUAAGUUGGCUCUAUCUUCUAUGCCCAAAUUGCCCUUUUGUUUCUCUAGCUCAACAUCAUCCUAACCUCUUUGUCAACAGGACCACUAAAAUUAAGAAAAAACACUAAAUUUUGAAUUUUUAACUUCUAAAAAAAAAAACACCCGACCCGACCACUUAAUUUGAAUGUUUUCCUUUCUCAUUUGGAAGCUUUCUCUCAUCUUUCUUCAUUCAUGACAACCCAAAAUUUCUCCUAUUUCAAUUUAGAAACCCAAAUCUGAAACUCUAAAACGGUGUCAAAAUGCGUCUUUUGACGUGCCUCUGGCUCAGAUGCCUCAGCUAGGCGUUUGCCUUGAGCCCUAACCGUAGUUAACUCUCGUCUAGGAGCCACGAGAGUGCAAGAGAAUCCAAUAAAAAUGAAAUGGAGCUCGGGUGGAGAGUAGAUGCCCAAAAACUGAAACCUUAACCUCCAAAUGCGUCUUAGACUCGCAAAUUCAUAUCCAAGAUAGUUCUAUAAGACAGAAAUAGCACCAAACAUCUCUUUUAGACCACCGAAUCGACGAAGCCCUUGAAGAACCAAAGGAAACGGUGCAAAAAAUGAAGCGCGGGAAACUCUUAAAGUAUUGGGUCUUGACAAAAAGAAUAUUAAGAAAAAUAGGUUUUUAAUAUCUUAUUUUAGUAUAAAAAUAAAAAAAUAAGAUAUAAUUAAAAACUUGUAUAUUUUUAAAUUAUUUGAUAUUUAUAUAAAAAAUAAUAUAUUAACUUAAAUAAGUUUAAGAUAGCAUAUAAAAUAAUUUAUCAGCUUUAAAUUUUUUUUUUACUUUUACAUGAUACUUAAAAAGGAAUAUAAAUAGAGAAACAAUAUACUAAAUAAAAUAAUUUUAUCUAUAUAUAAAAAUAAUUUAUUAAUUUAAAAUCUAUUUUUAUUUCCUUUUAACCUUUCUUUCCUUUUUUUUUUUUUUUUUCCAUAUUUUCCAAAUACUUCACAUAGCACUCCACUCCCUAUUUUUUUUUUCUCUCUAAAUUUCAGAAACCAAACAUAAAAUACAAACACUGGUGUAAAGUUUGUAUCUUUGUGAAACUCAUGUAAUCUUGACCCAUAGGAACCUUCCCAUAUAAUUAAAGGAGAAUUACCCAAUAGGGUGGGCUUGGUAAAACAAUUACUAGAAAUGGUAGUCUCUUCUAAUAAUUCUUGGGGAGGAUUUUAAUAGGUUUAAUAUACCAAAACUGUCAUUUAACUAAAAUUUUUAAAAUUCAAAGUAUUUAAAGCACUUCACUUGAUUUGUCGAUACAAUUAUAGUACAUGAGUCUCAUAUUUAUUGUAAUUAUUAAUAUUCAAAUUUUAAAUCAAAAUUUUGGGUUUAACCUUUACAAUUAUAUAUAAUUUGUUAUUUAAAUUUACUAUUUAAAACAAAAAUACUUUUAAAAAGUAUUUUCAAAAUAUCAUUUAUUGUUUUUUUUACAUUUUUUAUUUUUAUUCUAAUUUUUAAUUUUAUUAAGAAAAAAAUAAGUUUUAUAAUUAUAUAAUAAAAAUGAUGAUUUUUUCAUAUAUAUAUAUGUAUAUAUUAUAAUUUUAAAUUGAUAAAUUAUGUUUUUGUUUUAAAUUCAAGGAAGAUAAAAUGUUUAAUUUUUCAUUCAGAUUCUUUAAAAAGAAUAAGAAAAUGAUAGAGAAUGUUUAAUAAUUUUUUAUUUUUAUAAUAAAAUAAUUUUAAAAAAUUUAUAUGAUUUUUUUUCCUUUGCAUAGUGUUUUUUUUUUUUUCAUAUAAAAUUUUUUUUCUCAGUACAUCGACUGGAUGAUGUUAAUAUAUUUGAUAUGUUGAAUAUUAAUAAGGUAUAAAAGGUGAUCAUCGAGAUUAUUACUUUUAUUAUAAAAUAUAGGUACAACAAAAAUAUGUUAUAAUUACCAUAUAAAUACACUUACAUUACAAUAAAACCUAAUUAGGAAAUUUUUGAAUUUUUUUAUAAAAAUGAUAAUUUGGUAAGAUCAUACCAUAUUUUAUAACAUACCUAUAUCAUAAAUAAUUUCUGAAACCAAAUGAAAUACUAAUUUGAAUUCACGAGACUUGUAGUUUAUAUAUAUAAAUGAUUAAAUAAUUUCAAAACACUAAAUAAAUGUUGUUAAUAUAUUGAUACGAUGCGUUAAUACCAACGGGGUAUGAAUAAACAUUUUUAAAAUUAUUCCUUUUGUAAUUAAAUAUAGAUAUGACAUAAAUACAUUAUACUUACAAUAUAAAUACGUGUUAUCAUUACAAUAUAUUACAAUAUAAUUUAAUUUAUUUUUAUUUAAUUUUUUCAAGUGUUAUAUUAUCCAAUGAAUAAUUGUGAGUUAUUCUAUUUAAUAGGUGUGUGUUAAUCAAUUGAAUAUUUACAUAUUAUUCAAUUGAUGAGUGCUCGUAAAAAAUAAUUAUUCAUUAUAUUAUGAUAACAAAGUUUUUAAUUAUAUGUUUUAUAUAUAAAACAAUAUAAUAAUUUUAGGAUAUGGUUUUUAUUUAUGAGAUAAUGAAAAUUAUAUUUUUUUAUAAGGUUCUUUAUAAAAUAUAGCAAAUUUUUAAAUAAUCAUUUGAUUGUUCAAAAGUUAAUAAUAAUUUUUUUAAGCUGAGAAAUAUAUUAUUGAUUACUUAUCAUCAUGCAUGAAUUCCACAACAAUCUCAAUUUAUUUAUAAAUAAUAUAAAAACAUAUUAUAGGUAAAAUUAUCUAUAACCGAGAGAGCCUUCAUAAUAAUUAGUUUUUUGGGCUACCCUGUUCGGUAAUUCUCCGUACAAUUAAUUUCCAGCAAAGGCAGGUGAGUGUUGAGGAGACAAAAUCUGACCCGCUGUUGAAGGGAAAAUGCACAAUUAUUGAAGUGGACGGAAACUUUUAACCUUAUCUGUGGAAGCUGGGUCGUUUUUCAAAACACGAGGCUGCAGCUUGGAACCUGGGGCAUUCUAGCUUUCAUCUUCCCAUGGGAAUUUCUACCCUCCGCACAAGUCAAGAGCAACUUUGUCUUUUCCAUAAAUAUUAGUAUUAUUUGUGUGUUCCUUACCUGAAUUUGAUUCAAGCUUAGCCCUACGGCCUUUUCAACUGAUCCAAUUUCAUAGAUCACAUGGAUGCGCCAGUUCUUUUGCUUCUUCUCACUCUGCUUCUAUCUUCUCCACUUCCAUCGUCCACCCUCGACAGUUUGAGUCAAGGCUCAUCCCUCUCAGUUGGGAAGCCUGAACAAGUUUUGAUUUCACAAAGUGGAAUCUUCUCAGCUGGCUUCUACCCCGUCGGUGAUAAUGCUUGUUGUCUUGCCAUAUGGUUCACCAAACCAUCCUACGACGGCAAACAUACCGCUGUUUGGAUGGCAAACCGAAACCAACCAGUUAAUGGGAAUUUCUCAAAGCUUUCCCUUCUAGAAAGUGGUGAUCUUAUCUUAACAGAUGCUGGGCGGUUCAUAGUUUGGACCAUAAAGAGGGUUGGGAUUUCUCCGGUGCAAUUACACCUCUUCAACACUGGUAACCUUGUGCUGCGUACCUCGGAUGGUGUUAUUCAAUGGCAAAGUUUCGAUUCACCAACAGAUACCCUUCUCCCUCACCAACCACUCACCAGAAAUACGAGACUCGUCUCUUCAAGAACCAAAACCAACUUUUUCUCAGGGUUUUAUAAGCUCUAUUUUGACAACAAUAACGUCCUCAGUCUUGUCUUCGAUGGGCGGGAUGCUUCAAGCAUUUACUGGCCCCCAUCGUGGCUUGUAAGCUGGCAGGCGGGAAGAUCGGCAUACAACAGCAGCAGAACUGCAUUACUAGAUUACUUUGGCUAUUUUUCUUCAACCGACGAUUUUAAGUUUCAGUCCUCGGAUUUUGGUGAGAGAGUCCAAAGAAGAUUGACCCUGGAUAUUGAUGGCAACUUACGAUUAUACAGUUUUGAGGAAGGGAGAAAUAAGUGGGUUGUUACUUGGCAAGCCAUCACGCUACAAUGCAACAUUCAUGGAAUAUGCGGACCCAACAGUAUUUGUACCUAUGUGCCUGGUUCUGGGAGUGGAAGGAGAUGCUCUUGCGUACCUGGAUAUGAGAUGAAAAAUCGCACUGACCGAACUUAUGGAUGCAUACCAAAAUUCAAUCUUUCUUGCGACUCACAGAAGGUUGGUUUCCUCCCACUCCCACACGUUGAGUUCUACGGCUAUGAUUAUGGCUAUUACCUCAAUUACACCUUACAGAUGUGUGAAAAACUGUGCUUGAAAAUAUGUGGCUGCAUAGGAUAUCAAUACAGCUAUAAUUCGGAUGUUUAUAAAUGUUGUCCUAAGCGGCUGUUUCUCAACGGAUGCCGCUCGCCUAGUUUUGGAGGACAUACAUAUCUAAAAUUGCCUAAAGCUAGUCUUCUUUCCUAUGAAAAACCAGUUGAGGAAUUCAUGUUAGAUUGCUCAGGCAACCGCUCAGAGCAGCUAGUAAGAUCUUAUGCAAAAGCCCGCGAAAAUGAAGUGUUAAAGUUCAUCCUCUGGUUUACGUGCGCAAUUGGAGCAGUUGAGAUGAUUUGCAUCAGUAUGGUGUGGUGUUUCUUGAUGAAGGCCCAGCAAAACACCAGUACAGAUCCGCCAGGCUACAUUUUAGCUGCCACGGGAUUCAGAAAAUUCACCUAUAUUGAGCUGAAGAAAGCAACACGGGGUUUCAGUGAGGAGAUUGGCAGAGGAGGGGGUGGGGUUGUAUAUAAAGGUGUCUUAUCAGACCACCGAGUGGCAGCCAUCAAGCAGCUCAGUGGAGCUAACCAAGGAGAAUCUGAAUUCUUGGCAGAAGUAAGUACCAUUGGGAGGCUUAACCACAUGAACUUGAUAGAGAUGUGGGGUUAUUGCUUUGAGGGGAAGCACAGGCUCUUGGUUUAUGAAUACAUGGAGCAUGGAUCACUAGCACAAAACCUCACUUCCAAUACACUUGAUUGGCAGAAGAGGUUCGAUAUUGCGGUGGGCACAGCAAAAGGUCUGGCUUAUUUACACGAAGAGUGCUUGGAGUGGGUUAUACACUGCGAUGUGAAGCCUCAAAACAUACUCCUAGACUCUAAUUAUCAGCCAAAGGUGGCAGACUUCGGCCUGUCAAAGUUACAGAACAGAGGAGGAAUCAACAAUUCGAGAUUGUCGAGGAUCAGAGGAACGAGAGGUUACAUGGCUCCAGAAUGGGUUUUGAACCUCCCCAUCACCUCCAAAGUAGACGUUUAUAGCUAUGGUAUUGUGGUUCUGGAGAUGAUUACCGGCCUAAGAAGUGUUGCAAAUGCCAUCCACGGUACAGAUGGCAUAGGGGAACGUCAGAGUUUGGUGGCAUGGGUGAAAGGGAAGAUGAAUAGUGCAACUGCAGUUGCUUCGUGGAUUGAAGAAAUCCUAGACCCGUCGAUGGAAAGCCAAUAUGACAUGGGUGAGAUGGAAAUUCUAGUAGCAGUGGCUCUGCAAUGUGUGGAAUUGGACAAGGAUGAAAGACCCACCAUGAGUCAGGUGGUCGAGACGCUUCUCCGCCCUGAACGUGGAAACAAUCAUCACUAUUAAUAAAUCAAUGCCUCGUAUGGGGCCCAAGUGAAGUGGCUUUCUAUACCUAUUCCGCCCAUUUAUGAUAUUUGUAAAAAAACAGAGUAAUUUUAUUCCCAAUAUCUCUCCUUGGUGCUCUUAUCUUAUUAAACUCCUUUUUUUUUUUUUGCAAUAUUAACUAUUAUAUUUUAUAAAAUCCUUUUUAAAAUUUGUUGAAUUUGAUCUAUUUUAUCCUCACAUAAUUUGUAGCAGGAGAAGUUUUUCUCCUCAUCAUAGAACAAAUUCUUAUAUAUGUAGUAUACAUAUAUGAAAGGUAUAAAUGGUUUUAGCUUUAGUUGAUAUCAUAUAAUUUCUCAUUGAAUCUAUUCUAAUGUGACUUUAAAAUUUUUCAAAAUAUAAAUCAAUUCCUCUUCCUUUGUGUGUUAGUGAAUGAAUUAGUUUAAAUGUCAUAGGUUUUGACUUUUUAGACAGCUAUUUAACCUAUUUUAAAUAGCUCUGCAUCACACCAUCACUUCAACCUUCCUUGACAUUUUUUUAUUUAUUUAUUUUAAUUACCUUUGGAUGGUAUCAUUGCUCGGAAAAAUUUGAUGAAUGUAAAAGGGAAAUGGAAAAUCGUGGGGCACACAUACAUUAUGGAGUCAAAAUCUUUGAAAGAUGUAAAAUUGUCGUGCAAUUCAAUCUAAUGUAGAUGGACAAAAAUGUCAUCUUAUUGAUCAAGCAUAGAUGGAAAAUCAAAUGAAUGAGCCACCCUGCAAAUGUUUAUUUUCAAGUAUUUCUUUUUUUUUUUCAACUUAAGACCUCUUUUUGGAAAUUUAUUAUUAAAAAUAUUUUAAUCUCUAAUUUUUUAUAAGUGUCUUUUCAUAAGCAUGUUGAUUAGAAAGAAACAAAAAUAUAUUUUUAAAUUAUUUAAUCUAACACAAGAAAGACAAGUAAAAUUUUAUAAAAAUAAUUUAUUAAUUUUAAAUUUAUAUUUUAUUUUCAUUCAUUUGACAUACCUUCAAUAAUUAGUAUAAAUUAAUAUAAAUGUUUUAUAUAAUUCGUUUACAUGCAUUGUAUAUUAUGUACAAACAGGAACAAAAUGAAUGAGCCACUGUAUGUGACAAAUAAAUACAUUUUUAUAAAAUCUAAAUUUAAUUUUAUAGUAUAUGACAUGGAUUCUGGCGUCAUCUUCCACAUCACUGAACUUCUUCUUUACCUAUUUCAUUGUUCUCUGCUUCCAACGCUUCCCACUAUGAACGUCUCUAGAAAAAACUGUCCGGUGUGGCUCUCCUCUUGGCUCUACCACAGUUGAGAUUUUCGGCUUGAUGCCUUCGCUCUAUCUCAGGUGGUCGGCUUUGGAGCAUGGAUGGCUGCAGAUCUGCCAAGUUGUUGGCCAUGAAUCUCCCGAAUCCACUUGCUGCUAACCGUUUGUAUUAUUCAAUUGUUGAAGGCCGAUUUGAGUUGAAAGGCCAAUGGGCCAUGGGAAGCAAUGGUUGCUUCACCCAAUUUUUUAAAAUUCGUUUUAAGUAAUACCAAAAUUUUUAUUGUAUGAAGUAUUGAUGUUAUUAUUAUCUUUUCAUAUUGAUUUUAUUUUUUAAUUUUUUUUUCUUAGGAUUUUUUUUCUUUUCACUUUUUCUCCCACCUUUCUUUUAUUUAUAUUUUCUCAUAAUCAAAUAUGGCCUUAAAUUUAAUCGCAAGCAAAGUGUUAUGUAGACAAUUAAUAUGUUCUUACUAUUUUGCUUUUAUGGCCAUUAAAUUUAAGGACUUCAGGUGAUGGCAAUAGGGUGAUUUUUUUUAGGUAAUAGUCCAACCUGCUUCUAAUAGGAUGAGUUUGAAAUUUAAAUAAAUGAGUUUGAAGUAAAUUUAAGUUUUUUUAAACUCAAAAUGAGUUUGGAUAUUGUCACAUCCCAAUUAUAUAUAAAAUUAAUUUAAUUUGAUUUUUUAUUUUUUUAUUUUUAAUAAUAAUAAUAAUAAAAAAAUACUUUUUUAAUAAAAUAAGUUAUAAAAAUUUAUAAUAAUCUAAUUAUAUAAAAUAUCUUUAUUUUAAUGUAAUUAAAUACUCUAAUAAGUUAUAAAAAUUUAUAAUACUCUAAUUAUAUAAAAUACAUUUUAAAUAAUUUUAAAUGAGGUAAGGUAGGACGAGUAUGAGAAUUUUUUUUACCUAUCCCACCCCGUCCUGUCAUGUUUAAUUUUUUUAAUGGUACAAGGUUGGAAUAUGUGCUUUCUAUUCUAAACCGGUCUCAUUAUCAUCCCUUCAUGUGUCUGCAUGAAUAUAAGAUAUUAGUGAAAAGUUUGAAGUAUGAUAUUAAAAAUUCAAUUCACCAUUUAUUUUGUAAUUAUACUUCUAAAUAUAAGCAUGAAAGGGCGAAUUGACAUAAUAGAAGGCCUAACUGCUCAUGUUUUUAUUUAUUUAAAUUAAUAUUUAUUAAUAAUUUAUUUAUGUAAUAAAAAAUUUGUAAUUCAAAAUUUGAUUUUACUAAGUGAAGUACCUGAUGUCCAGAACUGGAGGAACCUAAAGAAAGAGAAGAACAAAAAGUGACACCAAGACAUAUCCCAAAAGCCUAAUGGCCCAUCCCCCUACAAAUUCUAGCUUUAUAAUUAUUGUCCUAAAAGAAAAAGAUGAACAAGUGUUUUUUCGUCAUAUAAUGUUAAAAAAUUAAAGUAUCAAUUUUUUUUUUUUAAACUUUCUACCAAAAAUAAUUUAAUUUCAUAUUUCUAAUUGUUUUUUUUAAACCUUUUGUCACUUAUUAUUUAUUUUUUAAAUAUUUUUACUAAAUUUAAAAAGAAAAAAAUAUAUAUAUUUUAAAUAUUAAAAAUAAUCUAUUAAUUUUUCUUUACUUAAUAAAAAUAAUAUAUUUAAAAAAAUAAAUAACUUAAUAAUUAAUAUUAUUAAACACUAUUUAAUUUUAAAUUCAAUUUACAAUUAAGUUUAAAAAACACCACUUAAAUGUCAUUAUUGCAACGGACAACAACAUUAACUCUACUCUUUUAUAAAAUCUUUUAUUUUAGGAAAUUUUAAUUUCCAAAUGAAGUAGUUAAGAGAAAAAUAAACAUUGUGGUUGAACUUAAUCGAAAUAAAUAAACCAUAAAAAAACACUUGAAUGGAUUAAGGACCCUUUUUUUACGCCAAGGUGGUGGUGAUAUAUUGAUUUGAGUAAGAAUUUUAUAAUUUCCCAAAAGAAAGAUAAAGUGGAAAAGCAACAUUUAUUAAAAGAUAGAUACAUUAGAAUAUCAUAUCUAAAUUUAGUAUUUUUCUUUUCUCUUCUUUAUAAAACUAAAUAAUAGAAAUCAAAUACUUUUUCCAACUUCUCGUACUGAACCGUUUCGUUUUUCAUUUCAUCUAAUUUUACCUUCAAUUCAUUUCUUUCCUAUUUUAUUUCUUGAAACAUGUAUUGACUAAAACCUCUGUACCAAUGUUUCAGGACAUGAAGAGGUAGCCAUCCUGCUCCGCCCUCUCCUCCGGGCACAUAAGCUUCUCAACUACCUGGCUCAUCGUGGGUCUUGAGUCCCUGUCUUCCUCUACACAUUCCAAGGCAACUCCAAUCAGAAUUUCCAUCUGGCGCAUGUCGCAUUCGCCUUGCAUCACAGGGUCCAGGAUGUCUUCAAUCCACGACCCCCUGGCACCAAUCCCAUUCAUUCGAUCCCUCAUCCAUUUAAUCAACCCACGCUGCUCUGUCUCUCCUUGGGCAUCAGUAUCGGAGAUAGCAGUUGGGCUCUUCCCUGUCACCAUCUCCAAAACUACGAUUCCAUAGCUAUAAACGUCUACCUUGGAGGUUAUGGGAAGGUUGAAUACCCAUUCAGGAGCCAUGUAUCCUCUGGGUCCUCUGAUCCUCGAGAAACUUGAAUUGUCAAGCCCUCCUCUGUUACGCAGUUUCGACAUCCCAAAAUCGGCCACUUUUGGCUGGUAAUUAGAGUCCAAGAGUAUGUUCUGAGGCUUGACGUCACAGUGCAGAACCCACUCCAAGCAUUCUUCGUGUAAAUAAGCUAGGCCUCUGGCCGUGCCAAGCGCUAUUUGGAACCUCUUCUCCCAAUCAAGAGUAUUGGAAGAUAGCUUUUGUGCCAAGGAUCCAUGUUCCAUGUACUCAUACACCAAAAGCCGGUGCUUCCCCUCUAUGCAAUAUCCCCACGUCUCUAUUAAGUUCAUGUGAUUAAGCCUUCCAAUGGUGCUCACUUCUGCUAGAAAUUCUGCUUCUCCUUGAUUGGCUUCUUUGAGGCGCUUGAUUGCUGCCACUCGACGAUCAAGCAAUACACCUUUAUAUACCAUUCCUCCACCUCCUCUUCCAAUCUCUUGGGUGAAACCUCGCGUGGCCUUCUUCAACUCUGCAUAACUGAAUCUUUUAAACCCGUUUGCAGCGAGGAUGUAGCCUUGCAUGGUGGAGACUGGAUCAUGGUGUACCCUAACUAAGAAAAUCCAUACCAGCAAGACAAUUGCCGUCUCUACAACUCCCAGUACGAAGGCAAACCAUAGCAAAAACUUCAAUGACCCAUUUUCAUGGCCCUUGCGAUAUGUUGUAUCUAGCUGUAUAUAACGAGUGUUGCCUGAACAAUUUAUGGUGAAUUCUUCAAGGGGAUCAUAUCUGGGAAAGAGACUAGCUUUAGGCAGUUUUAGAUACAUGGUUCCAGGGUAAUUUGGCGAACUGAAUCCAUUAAGCAAGAGGGUCUUUGGGUAACAAUUGUAAAGGCCGUCGCUAAAAUUUAGCAGGAAGGCCUUGCAUUUGCACAACUGUAAGCAUAGAUUUUCACACCUUUCAUAGGUGUAGUUGGGGUAGUGACCAUAGUCAUAGCCGUAGAGUUGAACAUGAGGGAGUGGGAAGAAGCCCACCUCAGUUUGGUUACAAGCGAUAUCAGUUUCUGGUGCACACCCAUAAGACCAGUCAGUUGAAUUUACAAUCUUGAAUCCAGGCAUGCAAGAGCAUCCUCUGCCAUAAGCAGGGGUGUAACUGCAGAGACUGUUGGGUCCGCAGAUGCCAUGAAUCUGGCAUGGUUGGGAGAUAGCCUGCCAUGAAACCGACCAGGUUCCUCUCGUUUCUUCUAGACUAUACAUUCUAAGAUUGCCAUCGAAAUCGAGGGCCAAUCUUCUCUGAGGCCCCGCCCCAAAAUCCGCUGACCGAAAUUCCAAAUCAUCUGAUGCUCUAUAAUAACCCAAAGAAUCGAAUACUGCGAUUCGACUGUCGUUGAAUGUUUUCCUUCCAGCAUCCCAGGUCACCAGGCUUGGGUCUGGCCAGUAGAUGCUGGAAACCUCAGUACCAUUGAAGAGAAGGCGGACGACGUUAUCACUGUCAAAAAAUAGCUUAUAAAAACCAGAAGAAUAGUUGCUUUGGCUUCUUGAUGAGAUAAGGCUGGUAUCUUUGGUCAGUAUCUGGUGAGGAAGAAGAGUAUCUGUGGGUGAGUCAAAGCUCUGCCAAAUCACCGUCUUCUCCCAAGCAUACAGUACAAGAUUGCCUGUGUUAAGGAGCUGUAAUCUCACAGAGGAGGUUGAAACGGUGUUGAUCAUCCAAACCAUGAUUUUACCAGCAUCAGUUAAGAGGAGAUUGCCAUUCCUCAACAAAGAAAGCUUGGAGCCUCUACCGUUGACCGGUUGGUCACGGUUCGCCAUCCAAACUGUGGUUGCACCCAAUGAUUUUGUGAACCAUAUGGCGAAGCAGAAAGUGUUGUUGCCGACCUGGUAAAACCCAGCAGAGAAUAUACCAUUUGCUGAAAUGAGAACGUCACUUGAUUUCUCCGCAGAAAGAGAUGAGCCUUCGCUCAGAGUAUCAUACGUGUCAGAUGAAGAUGGAUAGCAAGUUAAUAGCAAAGCCAAAACAAAGAAACCAACUGUCCUAUCCAUGAGUUUUAAGAUAUGGUUUAUGUGCUCUGUUUCUCGGAUAUUUGCAAUGGAGAAUACAAGUGCAUGGUGCUACCAGAGUUUAGAAAAUCAAUGUUUACAUCAUGACUUCUUGACUGGGGUGAAGGGGGAAAAUUCACAUUGCCCCUCGGGCUAAGUUUUGCUUGCGCCAUCGUGUUUGGUUUCUAGAAGCAAUUCAUGUCAGCGUCAAAAUAAUGGGAUGAAGACCUACCGUUUUUAAUGGGAUCUAUUUAGCAUGUAAGUUUGAUUGGAUGACUUGGGCCAUUCACAUUUUGUAAUUUCCCCUUGGAACAACAAAACUAUUAUGAGAUACGUCAUUUUGAAGAAGGAUUCUAGAAAUAAUAUGUUUAAAAACUCGGUUAAAUUGAUCUCUUUUCCAUGUAGCUGAACUCGUCAACUGUGAGUCUGAGCCAGAUAAUUUCUGUACCAUUUUUUUCUUCUAUAACAUUCACUACUUUUGCUACUAUUAAGCUUUAUGAUGGUAGUCUUGUGCCUAUAACCUUACAGUUUCAUUAUCUCUCUCUCUCACCCUUCACAAUCUUCCACGUGUACAACCAUUAAGUUUUGGAAAAGGUACACCCUUGGCUAACAUAGAACUACAAGCUAAGACAAAUAAAACCUUGUACUGAUGUAGGCAAAGGUAUUCACUAGAUACAAAAAUUUUCUUGUGUCACUUGUUGAGACCAGAAAAAUACCUAUUUGGAUGUGGUGAUUAGAUUUCAACAUAUCUUUAUUGAUGGUUUGGUUCUUGAAUUAUGAGGCGGUGGUGUCUGUUGUACUCUUAAAUUUUACUUCAUAUCAAGUAAUCACUAAUUUGUGGAAGCAAAAAUUCCUUGUAUUAUGAAAGUAAUAGUAGUUUAUUGUUCAUACUAUUUUGUUUGAGUAUUGGUUUUUUAUAUUGUUCAAAAUGCGAUUUUGAUUGCCUAAUUGUUGCAACUCACAUUUCAUCUGUUCUUUGUAUUAUACCUACUGGGUAAUAUGAUACUAUUAGAUAUUGGACUUGCUGAGAAGCAAAUAUAUCAUGCUACUCUCAAUGGUAAUAAUAGCCUGCCUACUGCUUUGCAUUAGGAGCAUAAUUGAUAAUAUCAUGGCCUUGCCCCCUAGUCCCAAUUGGUUUCUUUAGUUUUUGUACAUGAAUGACACUUUAUUCAAAUAAGCAUUGGUGUGUUGUUACUCAUGUAAUCUUUUUUCUUAUUUAUAGAAAAAGUAACUAUUUAAAUAUGUUGUUCUAUGUCCUUAUGGAUCCUUGUUAACAAAACAUCAAAUCCCCAAGCUUCUUGGUAUUUCUUUUUGAGUGUCUAGUCAUUUUCUCAAUAUGUUGAUCUAAAAAAUCUCUUUUGUGUUCAUGCAAGUUUGUUUUGUCAAUGCUAAUUGGGAUUCACCAUUUGUAUAUAUCCAUUGUAUGAUUCUAUUAUUUUUUUACUGAAAAAAAGGUUUAUAAUAGAUAUGGAAAAGCAUUUUUGUUGACCUAUGAGUUUUGUAUUUUUCCAAAUUUUAGAAUAUUACCAUGAAGCUUUUGUGCCAAUCUUGAAGGGGUUAGCCCUUUUCUUUUUCUAUUUACCCAAUCUACACUUGCUAUUGGCGUUGAAAGUGAUCCAGAAAAAAUUGACAUUCAGUUAUGAGGUGGUUGGGAUAAGGUCUAAGCUGCUAUUGCAGCAUGAAAUUGAAUGUAAUAUCAAAAGAAAGAUUAUGCUACUCAAAUUCUCAGAAGAAAAUUUUUGAACGGAAUAUCAAAAUAUCGAGAUUCAAAUUCUCAGAAGAAAAAUGUUUCUGAUCCACACCAUUUUUAUAGUGUUUUAAAGAAUUUAAUGGGGAACUCCAAAAUGCAACUAUAUGACAUUUAGUGGGGGCCAAAAACAAGAUGCAGCUAGCUGUAAGAACCAUUUGAUGCACUUGCUGUGGCCGCUACUAUUGCUUUGACUUUUGUUGCACUUUACCUGUGGUUGCCACUAUUUCUUUAACUUGUGUGCUUGCAGUCUCCUUCACAACUGCAACUAUAAGAAAUAGUUGGACCACCUAUGACUACACCAUGUGGCGGUCAGCUUGGUGUGCAACCAUAAUUUCAACCACACUAUUUCUGACCUCUAGUGAGGGUCACUAGCCGCUGCUAUAAGACAUCAUUCCUGUAGUGGAAGGUCGGCGUACAACAGCAGCAGAAUUGCAUGACUAGAUUCCUUAGGCUAUUUUACGUCAUCAGAUGAUUUUAGUUUUCGGUCUUCAGAUUUUGGUGGGAUGGUCCAGAGAAGAUUGAGUCUGGAUUUUGAUGGCAAUUUUCGAUUGUACAGUUGAGAGGAGGGGAGUGAGAGGUGCGUUGUUAGUAGGCAAGCGUUGCCCAAGGCAUGCAGGGUCCAUGGCAUCUGCGGGCCUAACAGUGUGUGCAGCUAUUUUCCUGAUUCUGGAAGCGGGAGAAGAUGCUCUUGCAUUCCUGGGUAUGAGAUGAAAGAUCCCUCCGAUUGGUCUUAUGGACGCCAACCUAAAUUCAAUCCUUCCUGCGACGCUCAAGAGGCUGGUUUCCUCCUAUUCCCUCAUCUUGAGUUCUACGGCUACGAUUAUGGCUUCCACCCCAAUUACUCCAUGGAGAGUUGUAAAAUGUUGUGCUUGCAAAGCGUUCCAAUAUAAAUUUCACGAGGGCAAGGGCGUGUAUAACUGUUUCCCCAAGACACUGUUAUUUAAUGGAUACAGUACACCUGGUUUUCAAGGAAAUGUAGAUUUGAAAUUGCCCAAAGCCCAUAUCGCUUCCUAUCAAAAUUCGGUCGAGAAAUUCAUGCUGGAUUGCUCAAGGGAGCUUCAAAAGCAGCUACCCAGAACAUAUGGAUUAUUGAGGUUUAUGCUCUGGUUUGCCUGCGCGAUUGGAGGAGUUGAGAUGAUAUGCAUAGUUUCAGUGUGGUGUUUCUUGAGGAAGGCCCAUCAAAACCCCAUUGCAGAUCCGGAAGGAUACCUUUUAGUAGCAACGCGGUUCAGAAGAUUCACCUAUACUGAACUGAAAAGGGCAACACAAGGUGUCAGUGAAGAGAUUGCAAGAGGAGGAGGCGGUGUUGUAUAUAAAGGUUUCUUGUCGGACCAUCGUGUGGCGGCCAUCAAGCAACUCAAUGUAGCUAAUGAAGGAGAAGCUAAAUUCUUGGCAGAAGUAAGCACCAUUGGGAGACUUAACCACAUAAACUUGUAGAGCUGUGGGGUUAUUGCGCCGAGCGAAACCACAGGCUCUUGGUUUAUGAAUACAUGAAGAAUGGAUCAUUAGCAGAAAACCUCACUUCCAAUACACUUGAUUGGCAGAAGAGGUUUGACAUUGCGGUAGGCACAGCAAAAGGCCUGGCUUAUUUACACGAAGAGUGCUCGGAGUGAGUUCUGCACUGUGAUGUGAAGCCUCAGAACAUCCUCUUAGACCCUAACCACAGGCCAAAGGUUGCAGAUUUUGGCCUGUCAAAGCUAGUGAAUAGAGGUGGAGAAGACAAUUCGAGCUUCUCGAGAAUAAGAGGAACCAGAGGUUACAUGGCUUCGGAGUGGGUUUUAAACCUCCCAAGCACCUCCAAAGUGGACGUUUUUAGCUAUGGUAUUGUGGUUUUGGAGAUGAUUACGGGGAAGAAUCCUGCAACGGAAAUCCAAGCGGUUGAUGGUGUGAGAAGUGGAAGAAAGCUGAAUGGAAUGAAACUGAAAAACAGGGUAGAACAGAGGUUUCUUGAAUCUUCUGAAUUUUUUUUUUUUUCUGAGAUUCAUUCUCUGUUCUUGUGAGCCGUGACUCUACAUAUAUACAUGUAUUUGAAGUUAGUUAUGCCUUAUAACUAAUUAUCUAACAGUACCAGAACUAAUCAUCUAGUUACAGGUUUCUAACUAAUGUUGUUUAGUUACAGUUGUACAUGGCUUAACAGAUGGCACAGGGGAGCAUCAAAGGUUGGUAGAAUGGGUGAGAGGGAAGAUGAACGGAGAAACUACAAGGGCUUCAUAUGAAUGGAUAGAAGAAAUCGUGGACCCUGUGAUGAAAAGCAAAAUAUGAGAUGAGUGAAAUGGAAACUCUGAUAUCAGUGGCUUUGCAGUGCGUGGAAGAGGAUAAAGAUGACAGACCCAGCAUGGGCAAAGUCCUGGAGCUCCUUCUCCACCAUGAAAAUCAAAACCAUUUCUAACGUUGCUAAAUUUGUAUGGAACAUGAAAGUAAGUAUCUUACAAAGCUCUCAAUUCACCAUUCUUUUAACUGUCGAAGUGGCAUUUAAUUAACCUAGCCCUUCAUUGAUUGCUCUGGCUCCACUUCAUUCAUAUAUUGGUUUCCCUUGCUCGACUACUCAUGCUCCACUUGAUUUAUGUAUUUCAUAUAUUUUUUUGAUAAAAAAAAAAAAAAAAAAGUUUGAAAACAUAUAAUAUAUUAGGUCUUAAAUAAUUUGUGAAAAAAUAGUCUCAAGUAAUUUGAAGAUGCACAAUGACGAAUUUCUAAACUUCCACACUUCAAAAAAAUGGGAGAGAGAUUGCUUCAAAUACUCAAUUCAAAGUUUUUGAAGAUUCAAAGAACACGUUCAAAAUUUCAAAAAACACAUUAAAAAUUUUGAAGAAAUUUUGGAGAAUAAGUUUAAGACAUCUUCAAUUUGAAAUCAAUCAUUCACAUCCUUGAUUAACAUUACACAAGUUGCAUCAAACCCCAAAUCAAGUCAAACUCAAGUCCAACUAAACUAUUAAAACACUUUCAAUUACAAUAUCAAACUGACAUAAGGGUGGGCAUACAUAUUUUAUUUAUUAAACAUUUUGAAAAAUUGAAGAGGGCAUACUAGAUAGAGGUUGAUUAUUAACUAGUCUAAAGUCUAAAUAUGACAACUUAAGAGGCUAAAUUCUAACUGGUUAUCAAGUGUCUUCUCUCGUAACUAUUGUUCACGGAAAUCAUAAUCUUACAACUCUAUAAUUGAAGUUCCCAUUAAAAAAAAAGAAAAAGAAAAGAAAAACUCUUUCUUUUAGCCAAAAUCCCUUCCUAUAUUUAUUUUUCUUAUAAUGAAUAUUUUAAUAAGAAAUUAAUUGCUUAAUUAUCAAAGAUACUUUGUUUUAUAAGAAAAUUUCAUAAUAUGAUAUUUUUUUUAUAUAAUAAUAGGAUAGUUUCUUACAAGAAUUUAUUAUAAACAUUGAAGACUUACAAAUUAACUUUAAAAGAGAAUUUGUAACAUAUUUUAACAAUAUCCACCUUGAUUCAAAUUCUCAAGGGUCAAGCAAAUUCAAAAGUUUUUGUAUCACUUUGUUCUCAUGUCUUAAAAAGAGCCUUCAAAUAAUAUAGACAGAUUAAAUCUAAACAAUGCAUGAUUUAAUAGUAAGAUUAGGCUUAAUCAUCAUAUUUAUCAGAUUAUUCAUUAUCGAGAUCUUUUGUCACAGCAAGAGUAUCUUAAGCAAUCAUAUCCUCAAUGAUUUAGUAUUCUAAUAUCCUCAAAUCUAUAAUAGCUAACUUUAUUGAACUCAUCAAAAUAGUCUUUUAAUACAUUUUCCUCCUUUCACUUAAAGAAUAAACAAUAACCUUUGUAAAUGCAAGUGAUUUGUAAGAAAUUUCUUCGUAUAUAAACAUUCCAACUUCAAUAAUAACUUAAUAGUUGUAUUAUCUUUUAUAAUAUCACGAAAUACUUCAUUACCUAAACAUUAUGCACUUUUUACAUAAAUUCAUCAUUCUUUUUUGUAAAUAUUAUUGCAAGUAGAGAGAUCUACAGCUUUUUAUGUUUUGACAACUUUUCUUAAUCUAAUUUUUAGUCGUUUUUUCUAUUAAACUUCUAAACAUUAAACUUUGUCUUCAUUCCAAGUUUACCAACCUUAACUUUCAUACUAAUUUAUUACCAAGAAAAAAAACAAUAAUAAGGGGAAGAAAACAAAAAAAUGAAAAUAAAAAAUAUAAAAUGUAGACAAUAAUUUACAUUAUUUGGUCUAAAGUACUAUAUAUCCAUAUAUGCAAAGAUAAUAAAGAACUUUUAGUAUUGUUUAAAGAUUACAAUCUUAUAGUUCUCUAAUCCAAAAUCCCAAUUACACCUAACAAAGGACUCUUUCUUUCCAUCAAAAUCUCCUUUUUUAUGAAUUAUUAAAGAUACCUAUUUAUAUAAAAGAAUAUCAUAAUAAGAUAUUUCCUCACGCUUUUCGUAAAAAGAUAUCUUAAUAAUAAAAUAUCAAACACGUAUAAAUUGAUGUAAAAGGAUGUUUGAUAUGUACACCUUCCAUCAUAUGAACAUGUUGUUCUUUAAAGAGAGAGAACCAGGAAAAACACCAAGAAACGCUAACUCCUCUUAAAUUAUAAUUAUAAAUUUUAAGUAUGAUUAAGGGUGAUGAUUUUGACAUGGUACAUUAACAUGAGUAGAAAAUGAUACCAAUUUUUAUAAGUUUAGCUUAAGUAUAACCAUAUUCAUGUCAUAAUCGUUUCAACCCAUAUAACCAAUUAAAAAAAGGUUGUGUUCAUAUUUAGUUGUUCAACCCUUCUAAAUUAUUUAAUAUGCCCACUUAAUCAUAUCAAAAUGAUCAAUUUACUUAAUGGUGUCAAAUUGACUCAUAUAUAACUCAUUCAUUUAUGAUUGUUUAAUUAAUAUAAAUUGAUUAAUUUUAUACAUUUAAGAUUUAAAAAUAGUUUUUUAAUUAUAAAUAUCAUAUACUUCAAAAAAUUAAGUAAUUAACCUAGUAAAUUUUAUAUAUUAAAUAUUAAAUAAAAUAACAAAUAAGUAUAAAAAUAAGGUUUUAAUUUAAUUUUUAUGUUGUAAAAAUAUAAUAAUUAAAAUUAAAUAAUUCAAUUAAAUAUUUUUUUUUUUUAACUAAGUUUAAAAUUUAAGGAAACUAGAAAAAGAUUUUAAAUAAUAUGGUACACGGGAACAAUUAUUGGCAUUUAAAUUUCGUAGUAUGUUGCAUGAACGAGGUGAGGGGAUGAUUAAUGAGUAGAAAAUGCAUACAGAAGCGAAAAGUCCGGCUCACUUGAUACGGCAAUGGAAGUGGCGAUAGAUUUGGACAGGGUGACAGAUGAACGGGCCUUGGGCCUUGGGCCUUCAGUCAAUGGUUUUGUCCUUGCAGUAGACACUUUUCAUUUUUGCAUUUGCUUUCUCUAUAAAGGUGAGGGGCCGAUUCUUAGAUCAAUCAGAUUUCAUACCCUUGCAUUGGUGCACAGUAUCUAAAUGGAUGUCUUGCUCUUCCUCACGUUUCUAUCAUCUCCAACGGUUUCAUCGUCAACCAUUCAUAUUUUGAGUUCAUUCAAAUAAUACAAGGAAGUUACAAAAUUCUCUUAAACUUGGAAGGGGGUUAAAUUAUAUUUUAUAUUAUAAUUAAAAUAUAAUGUAAAAUGUUAUAUUAUAUUAAUGUUACUAGUUUAAAAAAAAUACUAAGAAAAAAAAAACAUUAAUGAAAAUGAUUUUUUAAAUAUUUAUUUUAAUAUGGAAAGAAAACAUAUAUAAUUAAAAAAAUUAUAUAUUUCUAAAUUAUUUAAUAUUUUAUAUAAAAAAAAUUAUAAUAAGUUUAAAGUAGUAUAUAAAAUAAUUUAUCAAUUUUAAAUUUAUUUUUUCAUUUUUAUUUUCUGUUUUUACACCAUAUUUGAUCCUAAAAAAGUAUACAAUGAUGGAAAAAUAUACUAAAUAAAAUAAUUUUCUCAUAUUUAGUUUAUUAAAAAUUGUAAAUAUAUAUAAUAUAAUAUAAUUAAAUAAUUAUGUAUUUUCAAAUUAGGUAAAAAAAAAAAUUUUAUAAAACAAUUAAAAUAAGUUAGACGAGUUUGAAACUCCAUAUAAAAAUAAUUUAUUGAUUUAAAAUCUAUUUUUAUUUCCUUUAACAUUUUUCCCUUUUUUUUUUAUAUAUUUUCUUUCAUAUUUUCCAAAUACUUCAAAUAGCACUCUAUUCUCUAUUUUCAAGUUUGUAUCUUUGUGAAACUCAUGUAAUCCUGUUCCAUGAUAACCUUCCCAUGACUACAAAGGAAGGUGGCAACAUAUCAUUGGGAGAGUGUCUUAGAAGCCAAAAUUUGGCCCACAGUUGAAAGGAAAAUGCACAAUUAUUGAAGUGGAUGAAGACUUUUAACCUCAUUUGUGGAAGUUAGGUCGUUUUUCUAAGGGAAACUUGUGUUUCCAUGUAGCUAUUUGAAAGUAAUAUUAUAUUCAAACCCCACUCAAUUGGAAUAUGAAAUUUGACUGUCAAAGGGACAACUAUGUUUUGGAUCCACUUGAACUUAAAAAUUAAGUUUUAAUCCAUAUAAGUUCAUCAUUUAAGCCAAAGACCCAGAAAAAAUGUGAAAAUUGAAAAAAAAGAUAUGGUUUUUUUAUCUUCCUAGAAAUGACCUUUACUCACUAUGAAAAAAAAAAGAGUAAAAAAGUAUUAAUUUAAAUUUUAUUCAUUUUGUAAACCUUAAUAAAUUUUAAUGUAAUUUAGUGAUUUGGAAAAAAUACACCAUUUUCCAAAAAAAUAAAAAUAAAUUAUUAUUAUUAUUUAAAAAUCAAACAUCUUAGAAAAUAUAUAUUUUUAAAAUUGUGUAUAUAAAAUAUAACUAAAAAUAUGUCAAUUUUUUUUUUAAAUGACAUUUUUAGAAUAUAUUUUUUAAAAAAUUAGUUUUCUAAAAAUAAUAAUUUUUCAGAAUAAUUAUUUAAAAAAUAUUUAACAUAAAAAAGUUUGUCAAGCAUUAUGGUAGAAAAUAGUUUUGAAGGAUAUAUUCGUCUCUUCAUAUUUUAUAUCUUUUCCAUCAAUUAUGCAAUUUAUAUGGACAAAAACUUAAUUUUUGGGCCUAACUCGUCCAAAACACAAUUGUCCUUUUUUUUUUUUCUUAUAUUUUCCAAAUACUUCAAAUGCACUCCAUUCCCUAUUUUCAAGUUUGUAUCUUUGUGAAACUCAUGUAAUCCUGUCCCAUGCGAACCUUCCCAUAACUACAAAGGAAGGUGGCAACAUAUCAUUGGGAGAGUGUCUUAGGAGCCAAAAUUUGGCCCACGGUUGAAAGGAAAAUGCACAAUUAUUGAAGUGGACAAAGACUUUUAACCUCAUUUGUGGAAGUUAGGCCAUUUUUCCAAGGGAAACUUGUUAUAUUCAAAUCCCAAUCAGUUGGAAUAUGAGAUUUGACUGUCAAAGAAAUAAUUGUUUGGAUCCACUUGGAUUCAAAAAUUAAGUUUUGGUCCAUAUAAGUUCAUCAUUUAAGCUCAAGACCUAGAGAAAUUGUGAAAAUUAAGAAGAAUAAUAUAAAUUUUUUAUUUUUUCAGAAAUGACCUUUAUUCACUAUGAAAAAAAAAGUAUUAAUUUAAAUUUUAUUCCUUUUGUAAACCUCAAUAAAAUUUAAUGUAAUUUAGUGAUUUGGAAAAAAAUACACCAUUUUCCAAAAAAUAAAAAUAAAUUAUUAUUAUUAUUAUUUAAAAAUCAAAUAUCUUGGAAAAUAUAUAUUUUUAAAAUUGUGUAUAUAAAAAAUAACUAAAAAUAUGUCUUUUUUUUUUAAAUGAUAUAUUUUUAGAAUAUAUUUUUAAAAAAAUUAGUUUUCUAAAAAUAAUAAAUUUUCAGAAUAAUCAUUUAAAAAAUAUUUAAUAUAAAAAAGUUUGUCAAACAUUAUGGUAGAAAAUAGUUUUGAAGGGAAUAUUCAUCUCUUUCAUAUUUUAUAUCAUUUUCAUCAAUUAUGCAAUUUAUAUGGACCAAAACUUAAUUUUUAGGAUCAGUUAGGUCCAAAACACAAUUGUCCCUUUUUUUUAUAUAUAUAUUUUCUUUCAUAUUUUCCAAAUACUUCAAAUAGCACUCCAUUCCCUAUUUUCAAGUUUGUAUAUUUGUGAAACUCAUGUAAUCCUGUCCCAUAAGAAUCUUCCCAUAACUACAAAGGAAUGUGGCAACAUAUCAUUGGGUGAGUGUCUUAGGAGCCAAAAUUUGGCCCACGGUUGAAAGGAAAAUGCACAAUUAUUGAAGUGGACAAAGACUUUUAACCUCAUUUGUGGAAGUUAGGCCAUUUUUCCAAGGGAAACUUGUUAUAUUCAAAUCCCAAUAAGUUGGAAUAUGAGAUUUGACUGUCAAAUGAACAACUGUAUUUUGGAUCCACUUGGAUUCAAAAAUUAAGUUUUAGUCCAUAUAAGUUCAUCAUUUAAGCCCAAGACAUAGAGAAAUUGUGAAAAUUGAGAAGAAUGAUAUAAAUUUUUUAUCUUUCCAGAAAUGACCUUUAUUCACUAUGAAAAAAAAAUAAAAAAAUAUUAAUUUAAAUUUUAUUCCUUUUGUAAACCUCAAUAAAAUCUAAUGUAAUUUAGUGAUUUGGAAAAAAAUACACCAUUUUCCAAAAAAAUAAAAAUAAAUUAUUAUUAUUAUUAUUUAAAAAUCAAACAUCUUGGAAAAUGUAUAUAUUUUUAAAAUUGUGUAUAUAAAAAAUAACUAAAAAUAUGUCAAUUUUUUUAUGAUAUAUUUUUAGAAUAUAUUUUUAAAAAAAUUAGUUUUCUAAAAAUAAUAAAUUUUCAGAAUAAUUAUUUAAAAAAUAUUUAACAUAAAAAAGUUUGUCAAACAUUAUGGUAGAAAAUAGGUUUGAAGGGAAUAUUCGUUUCUUCAUAUUUUAUAUCAUUCCCAUCAAUUAUGCAAUUUAUAUGGAUCAAAACUUAAUUUUUGGGCCCAGUUGGAUCCAAAACACAAUUGUCCCUUUUUUUUUUCUUUCAUAUUUUCCAAAUACUUCAAAUAGCACUCCAUUCCCUAUUUUCAAGUUUUUAUAUUUGUGAAACUCAUGUAAUCCUGUCCCAUGAGAAUCUUCCCAUAACUACAAAGGAAUGUGGCAUCAUAUCAUUGGGAGAGUGUCUUAGGAGCCAAAAUUUGGCCCACGGUUGAAAGGAAAAUGCACAAUUAUUGAAGUGGACAAAGACUUUUAACCUCAUUUGUGGAAGUUAGGUCGUUUUUCCAAGGGAAACUUGUGUUUCCAAGUAGUUAUUUGAAAGUAAUAUUAUAUUCAAACCCCAAUAAGUUGAAAUAUGAGAUUUGACUGUCAAAGGGAAAAAUAUUAUUAUUUUUGUGCACUUUGAGCCAACUCCAUCUUCUGUGUCCAAAUUGCCCUUCCGUUUCUCUAGCUCAAAAUCAUCCCAACCUCCAUGAAAAGCUUCACCAUAUCUACCAUUCCCUAUUUGAUCCUCUACUUGGUUUUGUUUGCUCAUUUCAAAUGCAAGAAGACACACACGUGCUUCCAAAUUAUGAGGAUUUUUUUUUCUUUUUUUUUUUGGCUUUAAUAUUAUUUGGAAUAUCAUUCAUACUUUUAUUAGAAAAAUGGGUUACUCAUGAUCUUUAACAAAAUAAAGUUGACCAAUUAGAUUUCAAGAAAAGUACAAAAAUAAAUGAAAGUGUUUCUGAUUGUCCAAUAGGAUGAGUUUGGGAUAGAUCAUUCAUAUCUUAAUUUCAUCUCAUUUAUUUAUAUCUAUAUCAUAUUUGUCAAAAGAAUGAAAAUUUAAACAACAUAGGACAGUUCUUAUACUUGCUUGACGUUCCCAUUUUAUUUAUUUAUUUUAAAAUUUUUUAUUUUAAUUUAAAUCAUAUUAAAUGUAAAUAUAAUGUAUAAAUAAAUAAAUAAAUAUUAUAAAUUUAUAAUUUAUUUUUAUGAAAAGUAAAUUUCUAAUUUUAUAUAUGUAAAAAAAUCAAUUAAAAUAAAUUUUUAUUUAAUAUUAUAUAUAAUUGAGGUGAAGUCGACAAAAUUAUACUAAAACCCAACCCACUAAAAUUAAGAAAAAAAUACUAAAUUUUAAAUCUUUAACUUCUAAAAAAAAAAAACACCUGACCCAACCACCCAAUCUAAAUGUUUUUUUUCUCUUAUUUGGAAGUUUUCUCUCAUCUUCCUUCAUUCCCAACAACCCAAAAUUUCUCUCAUUUCAAUUCAAAAACCUAAAUCUAAAACUCCAAGGCGGUGUCAAAAUGCAUUUUUUGGUGUGCCUCUGGCUAAGACGCCUCAACUAGGCAUUUGCCCUUAGCCCUAAUCAUAGUUAACUCUCGUCUAGGAGCCAUGAAAGUCCAAGAGAAUCCGAGAAAAACGAAAUGGAGCUCGACUGGAAAGAGUAGGUACCCAAAAAUUGAAACCCUAACCUCCAAAUGCAUUCUAAACUCGCAAAUCCAUGUCCAAGAUAGCUUUAUCAGUAACAAAUAGCAUCAAACAUCUCUCUUAGACCACUGAAUCGACGAAGCCCUUGAAGAACUAAAGGAAAUGAUGCAAAAAAUGAAGUGUGGGAGACUCUUAAAGCAUUGGGUCCCAACAAACCCAUCGACCGAACCUCGAUCGGAUCUCGACCGGUACUCAAUCAAACCUCGAUCGAUCACCUUUGGUAUUUUGGUGACUGUACCUUAGGUACUACCUUAACUAAUCUUCGGUACUACUUUAGUUAAACUUGGGUACUACUUGUGUGAAGCCUCAAAACUUCAUUUGUGGAUAUUACUUACUUCAUUUGUGACCUUUAGAAUAUGUCAUUUUGUAAUUAAUUAGUGUGGUCAAUUGGUUCACAUUUGGUAUUUUGGUGAUCGUACCUUAGGUACUACCUUAACCAACCUUAGAUACUACCUUAGUUAAGCUCAUUCAACUGUCUAGGAGUGAGUUGGUGUCCUUUUCAAUUUUAUACAUAAAACUGGUCAACUAGUUACUCUUUAUCGGUCGAGGUUCGAUCGAGAAUGAAGUAAAUAAUAUCCACAAAUGAAAUUUUGAGGCUUCAGAUAGGUAGUAUCCAAGUUUUAGUAAGGUAGUACUUAAGGUUGGUUAAGAUAGUACCUAAGGUAGAUUAAGAUAGUACCUAAGGUAUAGUCACCAAAAUACCUAAGGUAUAUUCACCAAAAUACCAAAGGUGAACCAAUUGACCACACUAAUUAAUCUUAUAAUGGCAUGUUCUAAGGGUUACAAAUAAAGUAAGUAAUAUCCAUAAAUGAAGUUUCGAGCCUUCACAUAGGUAGUACACAAGUUUAACUAAGUUAGUACCUAAGGUCAAUUAAGGUAGUACCUAAAGUAGAUUAAGAUAGUACCUAAGGACUAUUAAGGUAGUACCUAAGGUACAGUCACCAAAAUACCAAAGGUGAACCAACUGACCACACUAAUUAAUCACAAAAUGGCACGCUCUAAAUGUCACAAAUAAAGUAAGUAAUAUCCAUAAAUGCAAUUCUGAGGCUUCACACAAGUAGUACCCAAGUUUAACUAAGGAGUACCUAAAGUUAGUUAAUGUAGUACCUAAAGUAGAUUAAAGUCGUACCUAAGGACUAUUAAGGUAAUACCUAAGUUACAAUCACCAAAAUGCCAAAGGUGACCAAUUGAGUCAAGGACCGGUCGAGUUGGGACCCAAUACUUUAAGAGUCUCUCGUGCUUCAUUUUUUGCAUUGUUUCCUCUGGUUCUUCAAGGGUUUCGUUGAUUCAUUGGUCUAGAAGAGAUGUUUGGUGUUAUUUGUUGUUGAUAAAGCUAUCUUGGACAUAGAUUUGCAAGUCUAAGACGCAUUUGGAGGUUAGGGUUUCAGUUUUUGGGUACCUACUCUCUCCACCCAAGCUCCAUUUCGUUUUUCCCGGAUUCUCUUGGACUCCCAUGGCUUCUAGAUGAGAGUCAACUGUGACUAGGGCUCAGGGCAAACGCCCAAUUGGGGCAUCUCAGUCAGAGACAUGCUGAAAUGAGCAUUUUGACACCACCUUGGAGUUUUAGAUUUGGGUUUUUGAACUUAAAUGAGAGAAAUUUUGAGUUUUCGGGAAUGAAGAAAGAUGAUAGAAAGCUUCCAAAUGAGAACAGAAAACAUUCAGAUUAGGUGGUCAGGUCAGGUGUUUUUUUUUUUUUUUUUAGAAGUUAAAAAUUCAGAAUUCAGUAUUUUUUUUUUCUUAAUUUGAGUGAUCCUGCUAACAUGGAGGUUAGAAUGAUGUUGAGGAUCCUGAACUGGAGAAAUAGAAGGGCAAUUUGGGCAUAGAAGAUGGAGUCGGCUUAGAAUGCACAAAAACGAUAAUACUUUCCUCUUUGAUAGUCAAAUCUCAUAUUCCAACUAAUUGGGGUUUGAAUAUAAUAUUAUUUUCAAAUAGCUAGCUGGAAACACAAGCUUCCCUUUUUCCAAAAUGAGGCUGCAACUUGGAACUCGGGGCAUUCAUAUUCCAUCAUCAUCACUAUUAAUAUUAUUCCAGCUAGCUUUCAUCUUUGCAUGAGAAUUUCUACCCUUGCCCGCACAAGUCAAGAACGACUUUGUCUUUUCCAUAAAUAUUAAUAUUAUUCCAAGUGCCCCAUAAAAAGGGAAAAGGAGUGUAUAAAGAAAAAAUUGAAUUCAAACCUGAUACAUUCAAUUUAAAAUAAUUAAUAUUUUACAUAGUUUUACAUAAACUAUAUAUAUAUAAUUUUAUAUAAAAAAAUAUUAUCAAAAUAUUAUCUUUUAAUGAUAUAAACCUAUGUUUAAUAUAAGAUUAUAUAAAUUUUAAAUUAUUUUUAAAUAUAUAUAUAUAUAUAUAUAUAUUUUCUCCUAAAAAUUUCUAUCAAAAUACAUUUUUCUAAACAUAAGAAUCAAGAAAGGAGACAAGUUGACCAAGCAGCGACACAAGUGAUAAUGACAUAUAAAUAGGUUUGGUUGUAACUCUCUUCUCUUCUAAACGUUAAGAGUGAAGUUUUGAUAAAAUGACUUUCAAUAAAACAAUAGAUUUAUUUUAGGUAUAUUUUGAAAUUUUUGUUAGAAAUGACUUUUUUUCUCAUAUUUAUUUUUAAAUUUUAUUUAUAAAAAAAAAAUUGUUUAAAACCAUUGUAAAGUGCAGAUUCGGCAUAAUUUAGAAACCACACUUUCAAAAUAUGGUUUCUAAAUAAGAAUAAAAAAUGUAAAAACUAGAGGAUUAGUUUAAAUAAUAAUUUGAAAACAUGUUUGAAACAUGUAUUUUGUUUUAUUGAAUUAGCCAAUUUGGCACAAAAAUGGAUAAAGUGAGGAAAUUGUUUAGGUUUUAAGUGUCUUUAUUAAGUUAAAGUGUUAAAUUCAACCAUCUCUUAAUACUUGGAUAAAAUACAUUUAAUUAAAAUUAGUUAAAUUUUUUAUUAAAUAUUGAUUUUAGUUGGAGUAAAUGUUUGAAAAACCGAGAUUUUUUAUUGAAAAAUUGGUUAUCGAUAAUGGCCAAAAUCCACCAUCAUAUAAUCCGUCGGGAAAAAAAAUCAUAGAAAGUCGGUAAUUUCACAGAAAAAUCAACGAAAUCUCGAUGAUAAGUUGGGACGUGUGGCAACUUUGGGUGAUCGGUGGUAAAAAAAAAUUGUCGAUUUUUGGUGAAAUAUAACCCCCUGGUUUUAUUGAUGGCAGUUUCUUUUUUUCUUUUUUUUCUUUUUCUUUUUUAUAAUUUAUCCUAUUUUUUAAAUUUAUAAUUAUUCAUUUUUAAUUUAUCAUUUUAUUUUAUAUCAUCAUUUCAUUUUUAACUACUUUUCAUAUUUAUCUCAUUAAUUCUAUUUAAAAAAAAUUACUAUCACUUCACUCUUAAUUAUAUAUAUCCUUUUAAUUUUAAAUGUUUUUGUUUUAAAAUAUUAAAAAUAUAAUUUUACUUAAAAAUUGCUAUAAUAUAAAAAAAAUUAAUGAAGUUCUAAUAUUUUAUAAAUUAAAAUUAAUUUGAUAAGAUAAAUUAUUAAUAAUUUUAAUUAUUAAAAUAAAUUAAUGUUAAUAGAAAAGUUGUUUUGUAAUAAAAUUUUAGAAAUUAAAUCUCAAACCAAAUAUGUUAUAUAAAUCAAUUAAAUUUUUUAUUUAAAAUGAAAUAAAACAUGGUUUAAUAAAAAUAUUUUUAAAAUAUUAAAAUAAAUUAAUAUAAAUAUAUUAAAGGAAUUUAAGCUAUUUUUUUUUUAUAAAAUUUGAUAAAUAUUAUCUUUAAUCAUGCUCAGCAAUUACAAAAUAACUUUAAUAUGUAUAUUCUUCUUUAUUUCAUUUUUUUUCAAAGUUUUUUAUAUAAGUUUUGAACUAUUUGCGUUCGAUUUGAUAUUUUUGUACCGAUAUAUCCAUAUUUAACGUUAUUUCAAACAUUUGAGUUGAAGGGAAAUGUGAAUGAGAUUAAGAAAGAAAGAGAAGGUUGAAUUUUAAACGAGAAAUAUUUGGUUAUAAGAGAUGAAAUAAUUCUCAAAUCGAAAAUCUAAUCAUUCCCAUAUUUUUUGUGAAAAAAAACUCAUUUUUUUUUUAUAGAAAUGUCAUUUUCUAUUUCAAAUAUUUCUAUACAGAUUUCAAAAGAAAUUAUUAUUUUUGUAAGAAAAUAAUGAAGAUAGUUUUGUCCAAAUGAUACAAAAAAAAAAAAAAAAAGUGGGGGUUAAAUUUCAAAAUUUGGAUUUUGAGGGCAUUUUAAUCAAAUAACCCUAAAAAAUUAAAGAUAUGUUGCCGGGGAUUAAGGAGACUUCGUUUGGUCCUAGCCCCUUGUAAAAUUAAAGAUAUUUUUGUAUGAUGUCUUGUCCAUCAUAAAAAAAUUACUCAGAGAUGGUGUCGUUUGGUAAAGAGACCGAGCUCGUGGAUGGAAGCUCUGGCCCACAUCCGAAGAUUUGAUAACGACGUAUAAAGUAUAAACUACCCUAGGCCUCCGCUUAUAACUUCAUUUGUGCGUUCCUUCCCAGAAUUUGAUUCAAGAUUAGCCCUACAGCCUUUUCAGCUGAUCCAAUUUCAUAGAUUACAUGGAUGCGCCAGUUCUUUUGCUUCUUCUCGCUCUGCUUCUAUCUUCUCCACUUCCAUCGUCUACCCUCGACAGUUUGAGUCAAGGCUCAUCCCUAUCAGUUGGGAAGCCUGAACAAGUUUUAAUUUCACAAAGUGGAAUCUUUUCAGCCGGCUUCUACCCCGUCGGUGACAAUGCUUAUUGUCUUGCCAUAUGGUUCACCAAACCAUCCUACGACGGCAAACAUACGGUUGUUUGGAUGGCAAACCGAAACCAACCAGUUAAUGGGAAUUUCUCAAAGCUUUCCCUGCUAAAAAAUGGUGAACUUAUCUUAACAGAUGCCGGGCGGUUCAUAGUUUGGACCACAAAGGCGGUUGGGGUUUCUCCGGUGCGAUUACAUCUCUUCAACACUGGUAACCUUGUGUUGCGUACCUCGGAUGGUGUUAUUCAAUGGCAAAGUUUCGAUUCACCAACAGAUACCCUUCUCCCUCACCAGCCACUCACCAGAAAUACGAGACUUGUCUCUUCAAGAACCAAAACCAACUUUUUCUCAGGGUUUUAUAAGCUCUAUUUUGACAACAGUAACGUCCUCAGUCUUGUGUUCGAUGGGCCAAACGUUUCAAGCGUUUACUGGCCCCCAUCGUGGCUUGUAAGCUGGCAGGCGGGCAGAUCGGCAUACAAUAGCAGCAGAAUUGCAUUACUAGAUUACUUUGGCUAUUUUUCUUCAUCCGACGGUUUUAAGCUUCAGUCCUCGGAUUUUGGUGAGAGAGUCCGGCGAAGAUUGACCCUGGAUAUUGAUGGCAACUUACGAUUAUACAGUUUUGAGGAAGAGAGAAAUAAGUGGGUUGUUACUGGGGAAGCCAUCACGGAACAAUGCAAAGUUCAUGGAAUAUGCGGACCCAACAGUGUUUGUACCUAUGUGCCCGGUUCUGGGAGUGGAAGGAGAUGCUCUUGCAUACCUGGAUAUGAGGUGAAAAAUCGCACUGACCGAACUUAUGGAUGCAUACAAAAAUUCAAUCUUUCUUGCAACUCACAGAAGGUUGGUUUCCUCCUACUCCCACACGUGGAGUUCUACGGCUAUGAUUAUGACUGUUACCCCAAUUACACCUUACAGAUGUGUAAAAAACUGUGCUUGGAAAAAUGCGGUUGCAUAGGAUUUCAAUACAAGUACGAUCAUAUAUGUUAUCCUAAGCGGAUGUUACUCAACGGAUACCGCUCACCUAGUUUUGAAGGACAUAUAUAUCUAAAAUUGCCCAAAGCUAGUCUCCUUUCCUAUGACAAACCCGUUGAGGAAUUCAUGUUAGAUUGCUCGGAAAACCGCACAGAGCAGCUAGUAAGAACCUAUUCAAAAGCCCAUGAAAAUGGAGUGUUAAAGUCCAUCCUCUGGUUUGUCUGUGCAAUUGGAGGAGUUGAGAUGAUUUGCAUCUGUGUGGUGUGUUGUUUCUUGAUGAUGAAGGCCCAGCAAAACACCAAUACAGAUCCGCCAGGCUACAUUUUAGCCGCCACGGGAUUCAGAAAAUUCACCUAUACUGAGCUGAAGAAAGCAACACGGGGUUUCAGUGAGGAGAUUGGAAGAGGAGGAGGUGGGAUUGUAUAUAAAGGUGUCUUGUCAGACCACCGAGUAGCAGCCAUCAAGCAGCUCAAUGGAGCUAACCAAGGAGAAGCUGAAUUUUUGGCAGAAGCAAGCACCAUUGGGAGGCUUAACCACAUGAACUUGAUAGAGAUGUGGGGUUAUUGCUUUGAGGGGAAGCACAGGCUCUUGGUUUAUGAAUACAUGGAGCAUGGAUCACUAGCACAAAACCUCACUUCCAAUACACUUGAUUGGCAGAAGAGGUUCAAUAUUGCGGUGGGCACAGCAAAAGGUCUGGCUUAUUUACACGAAGAGUGCUUGGAGUGGGUUCUACACUGCGAUGUGAAGCCUCAAAACAUACUCCUAGACUCUAAUUAUCAGCCAAAGGUGGCAGACUUCGGCCUGUCAAAGUUACAGAACAGAGGAGGAAUCAACAAUUCAAGAUUGUCGAGGAUCAGAGGAACGAGAGGUUACAUGGCUCCAGAGUGGGUUUUGAACCUCCCCAUCACGUCCAAAGUAGACGUUUAUAGCUAUGGUAUUGUGGUUCUGGAGAUGAUUACCGGUCUAAGAAGUGUUGCAAAUGCCAUCCACGGUACAGAUGGCAUAGGGGAACGUCAGAGUUUGGUGGCAUGGGUGAAAGGGAAGAUGAAUAGUGCAACUGCAGUUGCUUCGUGGAUUGAAGAAAUCCUAGACCCGUCGAUGGAAAGCAAAUAUGACAUGGGUGAGAUGGAAAUUCUAGUAUCAGUGGCUCUGCAAUGUGUGGAAUUGGAUAAAGAUGAAAGACCCACCAUGAGUCAGGUGGUCGAGCUGCUUCUCCGCCGUGGAUGUUGAUACAAUUAUCACUACUGAUAAAUUAAUACCUCCUAUGGGGCCAGCCAAGUAUGGCAGCUUUCUGAACCUAUUCCGCCCAUUUAUGAUAUUCGUAAAAAAAACAUUGUUAUUUUUGCUACCCUCCUCAAUAAAGAUUCUACUAAUAAAUAUUAUAUAGAAUUUUAUUCCCAAUAUCUCUCUUUGGUGCUCUUAUCUUAUUUUAUAAAAUCAUUUUUAAAAUUUGUUGAAUUUGAUAUAUUUUACCCUCACAUAAUUUGUAGCAGGAAAAGUUUCUCUCUUCAUCAUACAACAAAUUCUUUUCUAUGUAGUAUACAUAUAUGAAAGCUAUAAAUGGCUUUAGCUUUAAUUGAAAUCAUAUAAUUUCUCAUUGAAUCUAAUCUAACGUGACUUUAAAAAUUUUCAAAAUAUAAAUCAAUUCCUCCUGCUUAAACAUAACACUAUAAUUGCAUCUGUGCCUUGGUGCUUUCUGUGUUAGUGAAUGAAUUAGUUUAAAUAUUGACUUUUUAGACAACAAUUUUAAAGAGCUCAUGCGUCACACUAUCAAUUCAACCUUCUUUGAUAUUUAUUUAUUUAUUUAUUUUAAUUACCUUUCGAUGGUAUCAUUGCUUGGAAAAUUUUGAUGAACGUGAAAGGGAAAUGGAAAAUCGUGGGGCACACGUCCAUUAUGGAGUCAAAAUCUUUGAAAGAUGUAAAAUUGUCGUGCAAUUCAAUCUAAUGUAGAUGGACAAAAAUGCCAUUUUAUUGAUCAAGCAUAGAUGAAUGUGGAAAUGACGCAACGCAUCAAAUCAGACUUGGCGGAUGACAUGUAAAAUGCAAAAUUAAAUAAUGAUUGAAAAUCAAAUGAAUGAGCCACCCAGCAAAUGUCUAGUUUCAAGUCUUUCAUUUUUUUUUUCAACUUAAGACCUCUUUUUGGAAAUUUAUUAUUAAAAAUAUUUUAAUCUCUAAUUUUUCAUAAGUUUCUUUUCAUAAACAUGUUGACUGGCUUCAGGGAAAUAAACAAAAAUAUAUUUUUAAAUUAUUUAAUCUAACUUUAAAAAGAUAAGUAAAAUUUUAUUAAAAUAAUUUAUUAAUUUUAAAUUUAUAUUUUAUUUUCAUUCAUUUGACAUACCUUCAAUAAUUAGUAUAAAAUUAAUAUAAAUGUUUUAUAUAAUCCGUUUACAUGCAUGGUAUAUUAUGUACAAACAGGAACAAAAUGAAUGAGGCACUGUAUGUGACAAAUAAAUACAUUUUUAUAAAAUUUAAAUUUAAUUUUAUAGUAUAUGACAUGGAUUCUGGCGUCAUCUUCCACAUCACUGAACUUCAUCUUCACCUAUUUUCAUCAUUCUAUGUUUCCAACGCUUCCCACUAUGAACGUCUCUAGAAAAAACUGCCCGAUGUGGCUCUCCUCUUGGCUCUACCACAGUUAAGAUUUUCGGCUUGAUGUCGUGUACCUGCAAUUUACACGAUGUGUUCUCAUUCGAUGGCGAAUUCACUUUAAAUUUAUUCGAUAAAAAUAUGGUUUUUAGAUUAAACUGUUUAUUUUUUAUUUUUUUUAAGGGAAAACAAGAUAAGAAAUAAAAUCUUAAGUGUGACUCUUUAUUUGGGAAAGACGGUCUGUGGAAAACUAAAAUCAAGUUUGAGGGUCAGGUUAUUUAUUGGAAAGGUAUGAUAAAAGACUGUAACACUCCUCUAAAUCCCUAAAAACGGGUCUCUAUUAAAUAAGGUGAAACAAGUGUUACAAUUGAUAAGGAAAUUAAUAGAUACCAAUAAAAUGAUCAAAUAAUAAAACGAAUCAUAAAUAAGAAUAAGCAAAGUGAGAGUGAGAUCAUACCUUAGCAGCAAGUAAUAAUGCGUUAUCAUGAAAACAAUAUUAGUUCAAGUAUAAAAUUAUCACAUGCAUAUUAAAGAGUAAAACAAAGAUCAAGUAAUAUUCAUUAAACAUAACAAUUAACAAUCAAAAGAGAAAACUCAUAUAUAGGGCCCUACCAAAGUCCAAUUGAUUUUGCAUGAAUAAAUCCAACAAAUUUCAUUAUUUUAGAAUUAUAAAAAUCAUAUUCAUACUUAUUUAAAAUCAAGAAAAUCGAAAAAUUAUUUAAAGAUCAAAAAAAAUUUGUGAAAGUACUUACCUGAAGGGAAAUGUAACAAGUUUAUUAAAAACGAGAUUUUUGGAAAUUAUUUGAAAAUUGAAAUCUUAAAAAUUAAAUUUAAAAAUUGAAAUUUAAAAAAAAAAAAUUGAAAAUUGGAGUUUUGAAAAUUGGAAUUUUGAAAAAUUAUUUGAAAAUGAGAGUUUUGAAAAUUGGAAAUUUGGAAGAGUAUUUGAAAAUGGGAAUUUUGGAAAGUGAUUUGAAAAUGGGAAUUUUGAAAAAUGAUUUGAAAAUGGAAGUUUUGAAAAUUGGAAUUUUGAAGAACUAUUUGACAAUGAAAUUUUUAAAAAUUAUUCGAGAAUGGAAGUUUUGAGAAUUGAAGUUUUGAAAAUUAGAAUUUUGAAAAUUAUUUAAGAAUUAGAGUUUUGAAAAUUAUUUGAAAUUUGAAAAUUUGAAAAUUAAAUUUAGAAAUUGAAGUUUUGAAAAUUAAAUUUGAAAAUUGAAGUUUUGAAUAUUGGAAUUUUGAAAAUUAAAUUUAGAAAUUAGAGUUUUGAAAAUUGGAGUUUUGAAAUUUAUUUUAAAAUUAUUUGAGAAUUGAAGUUUUGAAAAUUAUUUGAAAAUUAAAUUUGAAAAUUGGAAUUUUGGAAAAUUAUUUGAUGAUUGAAGUUUUAAAAAUUAAAUCUGGAAAUUGAAAUUUUGGAAAAUUAUUCGAGAAUAAAAGUUUUGAGAAUGAGAUUUCUUAAAAAUUAAAUUUGAAAAUUAGAAUUUUAAAAAAUUAUUUGAGAAUUGAAUUUUUAAAAAUUAAAAUAAAUUUUGAAGGUCGGAACAAAUCAUCUCAUUGACCUUAUCCCCGUUCUUGUAAAUCUUGAAGGUUGGAACACUUUUUAUGCUCUCAGUUUUUGCUACUGUUGGGCUCUCCUCCACAUCCAUCUUGAGAAAUUUUAUGGAUUGGUAUUGAACACAGAGCUUAUCCAUGAUGGGGGAGACCUGUUCACACUGGUAAUUGGAUGCCACUUUGAAGUGAACCACCGAAACACCAGGUGAAGAUAUUGCAGUUUUAAACUGGUCGACACCAGAAACCUCCUCCACUUCACCACCAAACUUCACACUAUGAGUUUCAUCCUCCCAUGAUUUUGACAAUGCAGCUUGUGCCUGUGAUAGAGAUUCAACAACCUCGACGUCUCCAGGAAGUUCCCUUCUCAAGACCUCAUAAUCUUUUACUACAUCUGCCCAUCGUCCAAGCUUCCCAUUUGAGACAGCUCUAUGAAGAAGAGCCUUGGUGUAAUUUGGUUGGAUCUUGAGGGCAUGGUUGCAUUCCUCAAUAGAUUUUUCCCAUAAACCAAGUUUAGACCAGCAAACUACUCUAUUGCAAUAUAGAACAGAGUUCGAUGUAUCAUACUUGAGGCCUUCCCCGUAAGCUAAGCAGGCUUCUGAAAAUCUUCCAGAACUAAAGAGUUCAUUGCCAUGGGCCUGCGCUCUUGCCACCAGUUUAACAUUGUUCAGCAAUUUUGCAACUUCAACAUUACUAUAAUCAAUCAACCCCGUCUUCUCUGCUGCCGCAACUUCCCAGUGCCAUCUCAACCUGAGCUCGAACAUAGAGAACAUAGGCUUCAGCAAUCACAUCGAAGAACUUGGUUGAGCGAGAAGGAGAAUAAUGUUCAAAUUUUGGAAUGCUUGAUAGGUAGGAAUCUGCAUCUUCAAUUUGGUGGAGCUUCAACAGGGCCUCUACUCUCCAUGAAAUGAGUUGAGGAUAAGAAUCUGCCCCGCCUGCAUUGGCUCAUCACAUUCCCUUAGUGUACUUUUCCAAUCACCAAUUUUCCAUGCAUCAGCACAUCGGUUCAAAUACUUCUCCAAAGAAAGCAACUUCUGAAGCUCAGAUGGAUCUGGCGGCUGCGCGCCCAGGUAAAAAGAGAUGGCGUCGGGCAAAAUCAACAUGCCCUAACCUGAAAGUGCUCCUCCAAUCUUCCAAAGACCGGUAAACUUCCUUCAUCCUUGCUACCCAUGACUCGCCUCCUGCAACUUCUCUAUCUAAUGCUCAGAUCAUUAUCAUUUGAAGCUCUCUCGUUCCAGUCAUCUCUCUUGCUCUGUUUUUCUGUUUUUCUCCCAAUCCCAAAAAGUCUCUUUCGUUCCUCCUCCUGGUACUCUGUUUCUUUUCGCUUUAAAUCAUCCCCUGUCUCAGUCCAGCUUUUCUUCUCCUAUCAGCUUCCCACCCGUUCCAUUGCUCCUGGUUCAGCAAAGAUGUCACCACCCUCAACCACCACCAUGGCAAGUUGGUAGUCCUUGCCACACGUCCCAGCAUGCAGCUCACCUGGAAAGCCAUCCCCCACUCUAAAUGAAAUGUUCAGCUCUUCUCGGGUGGCCAGCAGGUGGUGAGAAAAAAAAACUUUGGUCCAGAGAGGGGUCUACAGAUGCCUUCGAUCUAUUUCAGGUGGUCGGCUUUGGAGCAUGGAUGGCUGCAGAUCUGCCAAGUUGUUGGCCAUGAAUCUCCUGAAUCCACUUAUUGCUAACCGCUUGUAUUAUUCAACAGUUGAAGGCUGAUUUCAUUGAGUUGAAAGGCCAAUGGGCCAUGGGGAGCAAUGCUUGCUUCACCCAAUUUUUAAAAAUUCAUUUUUAGUAAUACAAAAAAAUUUAUUGUAUGAAGUAUUGAUGUUAUUAUUAUCUUUUUAUAUUGAUUUUAUUUUUUAUAUUUUUUUUCCUUAGGAUUUUCUUUCUUUUCACUUUUUCUCCCUCUUUUCUUUUAUUUAUAUUUUCUCAUAAUCAAAUAUCGACUUAGAAUUUAAUUGCAAACAAAGUGUUAUGUAAACAAUUAAUAUGGUCUUGCUAUUUUGCUUUUAUGGCCAUUAAAUUUAAGGACUUUGUGUGAUGGCAAUAGGGUGAUUUUUUUAAGGUACCUGUCCACCCUGGGCUUAAAAUUUAAAUAAAUAGGUUUGGAGCAGGUUUGAGUUUUUUUAAACUCAAGACGAGUUUGGAUAUUGUCCCACCCCAAUCAUAUACAAAAUUAAUUUAAUUUUUUAUUUUUCCAUUUUUAAUAAUAAUAAUAAUAAAAUACUUUUUAAUAAAAUAAGUUAUAAAAAAUUAUAAUACUUUAAUUAUGUAUAUAAUAUAUAUAUAUUUAUAUAAUUAAAUAAUUUAAAAAAAUUAAAAAAAAAAGUUUAAACAAAGCGGGAUAAGACAAGUAUGAGAAUUUCUCAUACCUAUCAUACCCUGCCUAUCACAUUUAAUUUUUUUAAUAGAACAAGGUUACAACAUGGGCUACCUAUUCUAAACCUGUCUCAUUAUCAUCCCUACAUGUGUUUGCAUGUAUAUAUGAUACAAGUGGAAAGUUUGAACUAUGAUAUUGAAAAUUCAAUUCACCAUUUAUUUUGUAAUUAUACAUCCAAAUAUAAGCAUGGAAAGGGGCGAAUUGACAUAAUAGAAGGCCUAACUGCUCAUGUUUUGUAUUUAUUUAAAUUAAUAUUUAUUAAUCAUUUAUUUAUGUAAUAAAAAAUUUGUAAUUCAAAAUUUGAUUUUACUAAGUGAAGUACCUGAUGACCAGAACUGGAGCAACCUAAAGAAAGAGAAGAACAAAAAAUACACCACGACAUAUCCCAAAAGCCUAAUGGCCCAUCCCCUAAAAAUACUAGCUUUAUAAUUAUUAUCGUAAAAGAAAGAGAUGAACAAGUGAUUUUUCGUCAUAUAAUGUUAAAAAAUUAAAGUAUUAAUUUUUUUUUUCUACUGAAAAUAAUUUAAUUUCAUAUUUCUAAUUGUUUUUUUUUUACUUUAUGUCACUUAUUAUUUAUUUUUAAAAUAUUUUUACUAAAUUUAAAAAAUAAAAAAAAAUUAAAUAUUAAAAUUAAUCUAUUGAUUUUUCUUUACUUAAUAAAAAUAAAAUAUUUAAAAAAUAAAUAAUUUAAUAAUUAAUAUUAUUAAACACUAUUUAAUUUUAAGUUAAAUUUGGAUUUAAGUCUAAAAAAAAUACCACUUAAAUGUCUUCAUUGCAACGAUGGACAUUAUUAACUCUACUUUUUUAUAAAAUCUUUUAUUUUAGGAAAUUUUAACUUCCAAAUGAAGUAGUUACGAGAAAAAUAACUAUUGUGGUUGAAUUUAUUUGAAAUAAAUAAACCAUAAAAAAAACACUUGAAUGGAUUAAGGACCGAUUUUUUACGCCAAGGUGGUGGUGAUAUAUUGAUUUGAGUAAGAAUUUUAUAAUUUCCCAAAAGAAAGAUAAAGAGGAAAAGCAACAUUUAUUAAAAGAUAGAUACAUUAGAAUAUCAUAUUCAAAUUUAGUAUUUUUCUUUUCUCUUCUUUAUAAAACUAAAUAAUAGAAAUCAAAUGCUUUUACCAACUUCUCAUACUGCACCGUUUCGUUUUUCACUUCAUCUAAUUUUACCUUCAAUUCAUUUUUUUCCCUAUUUUAUUUCUUGAAACAUGUAUUCACUAAAACCUCUGUACCAAUGUUUCAGGACAUGGAGAGGAAGCCAUCCUGCUCCGGCCUGUCCUCCGGGCACAUAAGCUUCUCAACUAUUUGGCUCAUCGUGGGUCUUGAGUCCCUGUCUCCCUUCACACAUUCCAAGGCAACUCCAAUCAGAAUUUCCAUCUGGCGCAUGUUGCAUUCGCCUUGCAUCACAGGGUCCAGGAUGUCUUCAAUCCACGACCCCCUGACACCAAUCCUAUUCAUUCGAUCCCUCACCCAUUUAAUCAACCCAGGCUGCUCUGUCUCUCCUUGGGCAUCAGUAUCGGGGAUAGCAGAUGGGCUCUUCCCUGUCACCAUCUCCAAAACCACGAUUCCAUAGCCAUAAACGUCUACCUUGGAGGUUAUGGGAAGGUUGAAUACCCAUUCAGGAGCCAUGUAUCCUCUGGUUCCUCUGACCCUCGAGAAACUUGAAUUGCCAAGCCCUCCUCUGUUACGCAGUUUCGACAUCCCAAAAUCUGCCACUUUUGGCUGGUAAUUAGAGUCCAAGAGUAUGUUCUGAGGCUUUACGUCACAGUGCAGAACCCACUCCAAGCAUUCUUCGUGUAAAUAAGCUAGGCCUCUGGCCGUGCCAAGCGCUAUUUGGAACCUCUUCUCCCAAUCAAGAGUAUUGGACGAUAGCUUUUGUGCCAAGGAUCCAUGUUCCAUGUACUCAUACACCAACAGCCGGUGCUUCCCCUCUAUGCAAUAUCCCCACGUCUCUAUUAAGUUCAUGUGAUUAAGCCUUCCAAUGGUGCUCACUUCUGCUAGAAAUUCUGCUUCUCCUUGAUUGGCUUCUUUGAGGCACUUGAUUGCUGCCACUCGACGAUCAAGCAAUACACCUUUAUAUACCAUUCCUCCACCUCCUCUUCCAAUCUCUUGGGUGAAACCUCGCGUGGCCUUCUUCAACUCUGCAUAACUGAAUCUUUUAAACCCGUUUGCAGCGAGGAUGUAACCUUGCAUAGUUGAGACUGGAUCAUGGUGUACCCUAAAUAGGAAAAGCCAUACCAGCAAGACAAUUGCCGUCUCUAGAACUCCCAGUCCAUAGGCAAACCAUAGCAAAAACUUCAAAAACUUCAAUGUUGUAUCUAGCUGUAUAUAACGAGUGUUGCCUGAACAAUUUAUGGUGAAUUCUUCAAGGGGAUCAUAUCUGGGAAAGAGACUAGCUUUAGGCAGUUUUAGAUACAAGGUUUCAGGAUAAUUUGGCGAACUGAAUCCAUUAAGCAAGAGGGCCACUGGGUAACAAUUGUAAACGCCGUCCCCAAAAUUUAGCAGGAAGGCCUUGCAUUUGCACAACUGUAAGCAUAGAUUUUCACAGCUUUCAUAGGUGUAAUUGGGGUAGUGACCAUAGUCAUAGCCGUAGAGUUGAACAUGAGGGAGUGGGAAGAAGCCCACCUCAGUUUGGUUACAAGCGAUAUCAGUUUCUGGUGCGCACCCAUAAGACCAGUCAGUUGAAUUUACAAUCUUGAAUCCAGGCAUGCAAGAGCAUCCUCUGCCAUAAGCAGGGGUGUAACUGCAGAGACUGUUGGGUCCGCAGAUGCCAUGAAUCUGGCAUGGUUGGGAGAUAGCCUGCCAUGAAACCGACCAGGUUCCUCUCGUUUCUUCUAGACUAUACAUUCUAAGAUUGCCAUCGAAAUCGAGGGUCAAUCUUCUCUGAGGCCCCGCACCAAAAUCCGCUGACCGAAAUUCCAAAUCAUCUGAUGCUCUAUAAUAACCCAAAGAAUCGAAUACUGCGAUUCGACUGUUGUUGUAUGUGCUCCUCGCAGCCUCCCAGGUCACCCGGCUUGGGUCUGGCCAGUAGAGGCUGGAAACCACAGGACCAUUGAAGAGAAGGCGGAUGACGUUAUCAAUGUCAAAAAAUAGCUUAUAAAAACCAGAAGAAUAGUUGCUUUGGCUUCUUGAUGAGAUAAGGCUGGUAUCUUUUGUCAGUAUCUGGUGAGGAAGAAGGGUAUCUGUGGGUGAGUCAAAGCUCUGCCAAAUCACCGUCUUCUCCCAAGCAUAUAGAACAAGAUUGCCGGUGUUAAGGAGCUGUAAUCUCACAUACGAGGUUGAAACGGUGUUGGUCAUCCAAACCAUGAUUUUGCCAGCAUCAGUUAAGAGGAGAUUGCCAUUCCUCAACAAAGAAAGCUUGGAGCCUCUACCGUUGACCGGUUGGUCACGGUUCGCCAUCCAAACUGUGGUUGCACCCCAUGAUUUUGUGAACCAUAUGGCGAAGCAGAAAGUGUUGUAACUGUUGUUGCCGACCUGAUAAAACCCAGCAGAGAAUAUACCAUUUGCUGAAAUGAGAACAUCAUUUGAUUUCUCCACGGAAAGAGAUGAGCCUUCGCUCAGAGUAUCAUACGUUUCAGAUGAAGAUGGAUAGAAAGUUAAUAGCAAAGCCAAAACAAAGAAACCAACUGUCCUAUCCAUGAGUUUUGGGAUAUGGUUUAUGUGCUCUGUUUCCUGAUCAGAUAUUUGCAAUGGAGAAUGCAAGUGUAUGGUGCUACCAGAGUUUAGAA
rnacentral:lncRNA from 1 species